rnacentral:lncRNA from 1 species
AUCGAGUUACCAAUGCGUUUUCGUACAAUCAAUGCAUAACCAACUCGUAGGUAACAAAUCAUAUAUCUAGGUUUGAAGACUUAUAUGAUAUUACCGUCUCACGAUCACUCGAGAUAAAUUCCAUGAAGUGAUUCCAGUGAGCGUGGGUUGAGUCCAAUGCUUAGAACUUAUGAGCACUCAUGAUUGUUGUAGCCAUGUCCAACAUCUUAGACCUCUGCAACCAAUCAUGACAGUCCUGAUUCAUACCUACUUCCGACAUAUGACCGACUGCGGAGGUUCGAAUAAUGUCAUAUACCAAACAUAAUUUUUCUGGAAGUCAAAACAUGCAAAAGAAAUAUAGUAAACGAUUGACAAGUGAUAGCAACACUUUACUCAUAAAUAACAUCUUUUAUUAAUAAUCAAAUGUCAAUUACAUUUUACAAAUUACGAGAUUAUCUAACUACUAAAACUAAUAUCAUCCUUCAACCCUAUGCUCCGAGCAUGCUGGAGAUGCUUAGCCCGAGUCAGUCCCUUCGUGAGGGGAUCUGUUGGGUUCUCAUCCAAUGAUACCCUCUUUGCCACGAGGAUUCCUUCUUCUAUUCGAUGCAUGAUGAAGUGAUAUUUUCUGUCAAUGUGUCUGGAUCUCCCAUGAUCUCUUGGUUCCUUGGCUAAGGCAACCGCAUUAUUGCUAUCACAGAGAAUCUCCAUUGGCUCCUUUAUAGCUGGUAUAACUCAAAGGUCUCCGAUGAAGUUCUUUAGCCAUAUAGCCUCCUUGGUUGCCUCGCUUGCUGCUAUAUACUCUGAUUCACAAGUGUAAUCAGCCACUGUCUCCUGCUUGGAACUUUUCCAAGUAAUUGCCCCUCCAUUUAGGGUAAAGACCCAGCCAGACUGAGAGCGGAAAUUAUCCGUGUUAGUCUGAAAGCUAGCAUCACUGUACCCUACAACUCUCAAGUCAUCACUCCAACCAAGGGUAAGGACCCAGUCCUCAGUCCUUCGCAGGUACUUGAGGAUAUUCUUUACUGCAGUCGAGUGUGCCUUGCCAGGGUUCCCCUGAUACCUGCUAACCAUGCUCAAAGCAAAGGCUACAUCAGGUCGAGUACACGCCAUAGCAUACAUGAUCAAUCCUACAGCUGAAGCAUAAGGUAUUCGACUCAUUUUUGCUAUCUCAACCUUUGAACUAGGGCUUUGUGUCUUACUCAAUCUGGCAUUACUCUAAAUGGGUAACUGACCUUUCUUGGAGUUAUGGAUGUUGAAUCUUUUCAACACUUUGUCCACAUAGGUGCUUUGACUAAGUCCAAUUAGUCUUUUACUCCUGUUUCUCACAAUCCUUAUCCCUAGGAUAUAGGCAGCUUCACCAAGGUCCUUCAUAGCGAAACACUUCCCAAGCCAGGACUUUACUUCCUGCAAGGUUGGGAUGUCAUUUCCUAUGAGUAGUAUGUCAUCCACAUACAGUACUAGAAAGCUUACUAUGCUCCCACUAGCCUUGAUAUAGAAACAAGAUUCAUCUUCACUCCUUGAAAAGCCAAAUUCUUUGACUUUCUUAUCAAAGAAAAGAUUCUAUCUGCGAGGUGCUUGUUUCAAUCCAUAAAUGGAUUUCUCGAGUUUACACACUCUAUUGCGGUACUCUGUACUGACAAAACCCUCUGGCUGAACCAUGUAAACAUCUUCAGCCAACUUUCCAUUAAGGAAAGCAGUUUUGACAUUCAUUUGCCAUAUUUCAUAGUCAUGAAAUGCAGCAAUGACUAACAAAACCAUGUCUCAUCAUAAUCAACUCCCGGAGUUUGAGAAUAUACCUUUGCAACCAGUCGUGCCUUAUAAGUGUGUACAUUACCAUCCAUGUCGGUCUUCUUCUUGAAGAUCCAUUUGCACCCAACUAUCUUACGAUCAGGUACAUUGUCAACCAAGUUCCAAACUUGAUUGUCAUACAUGGAUUGUAUCUCGCUAUCCAUAGCCUCUUUCCAUUUAGCAGCCUCAGGACCUGCCAUGGCUUCCGUGUAGCUGUUAGGCUCAUCCGGAUUUACCACUGUGUUAUCACUAAUAAGUGUCUCACCUUCUGCAGUAAUAUGGAAACCAUAAUAAUGCUCAGGUGCAUUCCUAACUCUGGUGGAACGCCUCAGAGGUACAGAUUCUUCAGUCGGCUCAACAGGAGUUUCCUCUUCAGGUUGAGGGCUAGGGUUUGAGGUUCCUUCAUCACUUGAAUCUUGAAUUUACUCAAGGUCAAUUUGCCUCCCACUGUCUCCUUGGCUCAAGAAUUCUCUCUCUCGAAAGAAUCCUCUUCUUGCUACAAAGACCACAUUAUCACUAGGUCUGUAGAAGAUGUAGCCAAAGGAUUUCUGUGGAUAGCCGAUGAAAAUACACAUUUCGCUUUGGGGUUCGAGCUUAUCGUGAGUCUCGUGUCUCACGAAAGCCUCACAACCCCAAAUCUUGAUGUGGUCUAGAUUGGGAACUUUUCCAGUCCACAUCUCGUGAGGUGUUUUGGCAACCUUCUUUGUAGGGACUAGAUUAAGGGUAUGGGCGACAGUCCCUAAGGCAUACCCCCAAAAUGAUAUUGGUAGCGAAACUCGACUCAUCAUGGAACGAACCAUGUCCAACAAGGUCCAAUUGCGCCUCUCAGCUACACCCUUCAACUGCGGCGUCCUAGGAGGUGACAAUUGUGAGGUAAUCCCACAUUCCUUAAAAUAGUCAAGGAACUCAGUACUAAGAUACUCACCACCAUGAUCGGAUCGAAGCAUCUUAAUGUUCCUGCCCAACUGAUUCUCCGCUUCUUUCUUAAACUCUUUGAAUUUCUCAAAGGUUUCUGACUUAUGCUUGAUUAAGUAGACAUAUCCAUAUCUACUAAAAUCAUCAGUGAAAGUCACAUAGAACCGAUUAGCAUCUCUUGUGGCGGUUCUGAAGGGUCCACACACAUCCGUGUGUAUGAGGUCCAACAAACCUUCAUCCCUAGCACAAGUGCCCGUAAAAAGUGACUUUGUCAUUUUACCAAGCAAACAAGAUUCACAACUAUCAUCUGACUUUAGGUCAAAUGACUCCAAGACUCCAUCCUUUUGGAGUUGGCCUAUGCGUUUCUUGCUUACAUGUCCAAGACGACAAUGCCAUAAAGAUGCUUUAUCUAAGCUAGUGGAAGAGUCAAUAUACAAUACAUUAUUUCCUAUAUUAUCUACAACAGAUAUAGUUUCAUACAUGCCAUCACAAGGUAAUGCUUUAAAAUAAAGAACAUUAUUAAAGAAAGCAUCAAUACUACCAUUAUUAUUAUCAAAAUAAAAGGUAAAACCUUGUUUAUACAAUGCAUGAAAGGAAAUAACAUUUCUUGCCAUUUCUGGCGAAUAAUAACACUUAUUCAAAUCUAAUGUAAACCCACUAUUUAGCACUAAGGAAUAAACUCCUAUCUUGUUGACAGGUGAAGCUUUCCUGUUUCCCAUGAUCAAGUUUAUCUUUCCCUGCUCCACAUUCUCACUUCUUCUUAGUCCCUGCAAAUCACAACAUAUGUGAAUACCACAACCUGUAUCAAGGACCCAAGACUUAGAAUGAGGUGAGUUAUUAGACAAUAUAGUGUAUAUACCUGCAUGGUUGGGUUUUACUUUCCCAUCCUUCAAAUCUUGCUGGUACUUUGGGCAGUUUCGCUUCCAGUGCGACUUUUCAUGGCAAUAGAAGCAUUCAGCCUCAUUAGGGUUAGCAGAAGGAGUGACAAAACCUUUCUUGGUUUUGCUUGAAGAGGAGCCUUCAAGGGUCUUACCCUUGGUACCCUUAGAAGGGUUCUUUCUCUUCUUCCCUUUGCCAUGCCCGAUUGCCAAGACAUUGGCCGCAGUUGGAGUAGGAGUAGGAGUAGUAACAACCGACUUACCCUUUAGACCACUUUCGGCGGUCUUCAAGAGUCCUUGAAGUUUGCUGAGGGUGACUUCUUCCUUGUUCAUGUGAUAUGUCAUGCGGAAUUGAUCAUAACACGAUGGUAAGGAGUGCAAAAUGAUGUCUAUUGCUAACUCCUCGGGGAAGUUCACAUUCAGCUUCAGUAAACGGUCCACAUACCUUUGCAUUUUCUGCAUGUGGCCCGUGAUGGGUUCACCAUCCUUCAUUCGGGUUGUUAUCAUGGAGGAGAUUAUUUCAUAUCGCUCUUGACGAGCACUUUGAUGGUAGCGGUCCAUCAAGUCCUGGUGCAUCUCAAAAGGAUAAUAGUCCUCAUAGGACUUUUGGAGCUCGGCUGUCAUGGUGGCCAUCAUGAUGCAUGCUACUUUUGUAGCAUCUCUUUCAUGUACCUCAUAUUCAGCAAGCUCUUCAGGAGUAGCAGUUGGCUCGGGUACCUUUAGCUCCUUGUCGAGAACAUAUUCUUUGUUCUCAUACCGAGUGACCAUCCUGAUGUUUCUGAUCCAAUCAGUAAAGUUGGAUCCAUCAAAGAUGACUCUCCCACAAAGAUUCAUGAGAGAGAAGGAGCUAGUAGGGUUUGAGCCAGAAGCAUUGUUAUUGGAAGACAUCUGAAAAGAAGAGGGAAUAGAUUAGAUUAGAUUUAGAGAUAGUCCUUAAUAAAACACCCAAAUGUAGUAUUAAGGCUAGGACCCAACACAAUAUUUUAUAACUUAGAAGAGGGAUGCCGUAAUCUAAGCUAUAAGAUAUUUGAAGGUAGGUGAAUGACGAUUCACCAAUUUCCACCAUGAAAAACGAAAUAUUUAAUUAGGUUUUAAUUGGUUUAGAAACUCCUAGAUUCUUUGAGAUUCAUUGAACUUUCUUCAAUGGCAUGUUUCAAUCUCGAGUGUGCCCUUCAAGUUUUGUGACUGGGAUGCCGAGGAUCACAAAACAAGGUGUGAAGUAACCAUGCAAAUUACUUGGUACCCUUAAUGUAUUACCCCUCAAUCGAUGUGCCGGUUAACCACACACGCUCCAUCGAUACUAUGAUAAGCAUUAAGUCACCCUUUACCUACCUUUUUAAGUUCAAGUUAGUGCACUGGUUAACCACACAUGCUCCACUAACAACUUAAACAAAGUGUCAAGUGUAAUUUCAUGGAUUAGCACCUUAUUCACAUUUUCCUAAAAUAACUAAGCUUGGGAAUUCUAUAAAGUUUAGUUACUUUAGUAUUAUCAUUAUACUUUUAAUGAGAAUUUAUAAGUCCUUGUCCUACCCGUUCGGCUAACGACCCUCCACCGAUCAAGGAAGCGGUGGGUGAGAGUGGACACCCAUUAAGUUGCCAUUUUAUAGGCAACAACCUUAUACCCCCCUUAUAGACCGGCUUCGUGAAUGAGGCGUACUAGCGGUAAGACGAUUUGAUCUUAUACAUAUAUAUUAUUAACUUAUAAUAUUAUAAAGUAUAAGGGUUGAAUUUUAACUUUUAAAAUUCUAAGGGUUGGAACUAAAGUUUUAAUCAUGACUUUACUUGUUCCAAAACUUGAGGGCAAGUUUUGUAAACUUUCAAAACUUUUCAUUUCUUAUAACUCAUGAAGUUAAUUGAUUAUAAAAAUGAAGACUCUUCAUUUUUCUAACUCUUGUGUUCUUUUAAUGGUUUUAAUUCAAGUGUGACUCUUGGUUUUCCAUAACUUGAGGACAAGUUAUGGACUCCAUUAAAACACAUUAUGAUCAAGAAUUAAACUACCAAGUAGGUUACAAACAAUUCCUAUGAUCAUCUAAUCUUCAUAAGUUCAAGAACAUGAAUAUGAACAUUUCAAGAAUCAUAAAUUACUCAUAAAACUUGUAAUUUUUUAUAAUAGCCAUUGUAAAUGGAUUAGCAUAAACAUUACACCAUCUAAAACAAGUUUUAUAACACCAAAACAGUUUAGGGUAAUGUUUCUAGUCCAUUUCCAGCAGCAAAAAUCGAAAAACUGCAUUCUGAGGCUCCUACUCGUCGAGUGCACGAACCUACUCGGCGAGUAGGAGGAAGAUACACAUGAACUCGGCGAGUCCCCCCAUGGACUCGGCGAGUUCAUCUGGAUGACAACAAAAAAAUCGACUUUUUUCCACUGUAUUGCAUCAAGUAUCAAACAAACAAGCCUAGGCUCUGAUACCACUGAUGGGUUUUGAGCAUUCUAACACUCCUAUGGUGUACAUGCAACCCUAGAAACCUUGGAUCUAUGUUUGACUAAGAUACAUGCAAAUAAUUAUUUUUCCAAGGUUCUUAUCCUAUCUAGCAUGGCAUGGGGAACUUGAAUCAAAUAAAGCUAGUAGAANACUAAGAUACAUGCAAAUAAUUAUUUUUGCAAGGUUCUUAUCCUAUCUAGCAUGGCAUGGGGAACUAUAAUCAAAUAAGCUAGUAGAAUUACUUACCUUGUAGUUGUAGUUGAUUGCUUGGAGUUUUAGAGCCUAACACCAAUAGUAUGCAUGCCUCAAAUGGAAUCACAAAUCACCACAAACUUUGGAACCUUGAGAGAAUAGUCACAACUAUCUUGAAAUUGGCCCUCUUGCUAUACUCACCACAACUAGUGUGAUUUCAAGAACCAAAGCCUCCUUUAUAUAGUGUGGUCGAUUAGGGUUACAUCCAUGUAAACCCUAAUACCCAUAUCUCUUCAUUUCCAUGAGAUCCAUGGGUUAAAGCUCCAUGGAGUAUCCAUGGACUUUCCAUGCAAGCCAAGCCCAUUCCAAAUAAGCAUUAGCCCACACUAUAUAAAUAUAAGAGCCCAUACUUAAUUAGUAAUACUUUUGAUCUCUAAAUUAAUCCUAGAUUAAUUAUAGAUCAAUACUAAUUAAAUAAUAUGAUCUUAUAUUAAUAUACUAGAACUUAUAAUAUAUUAAUAAAUCAUAACUUAUACUAUUCUCAAAAGAUUAUCCAUAAAUUGUUCGGGUGAAGUGAAACCCAAAUGGACCAUGCCGGGUCGGGUCAAGUACAUUCCAAAUAUAGUUACGGACUUAGACACUAUAUCCAACACAUCGAUCUACACACGCGGUUCAUGAGAUCCUUGAAUGCGGAAGGAGCAUUGGUGAGCCCAAAAGGCAUCACUAUAAACUCAUAAUGACCAUAUCGUGUCCGAAAAACAGUCUUCUGCACAUCCUUCUCUCGGACCCUCAUCUGAUGGUAACCCGAACGCAGAUCGAUGUUGGGGAACCAAGAUGCUCCCUAAAGCUGGUCAAAUAGGUCAUCAAUCCUUGGGAGUGGAUAACGGUUCUUCACCGUUACCUUAUUUGGCUCCCGGUAAUCUAUACACAUCCGAUAUGAGCCAUCCUUCUUUUUCAUGAAUAGUAUCGGGGCUCCCCAGGGCGAAAUGCUCGGUCUGAUGAAUCUCUUGUCUAAAAGCUCUUGCAGCUGUGUAGACAACUCUUGCAUCUCAGGAGGAGCCAAUCGAUACGGUGCCUUGGCUAUCGAAGCCGCACCAGGGACCAGGUAUAUCCUGAACUCCACCUGCCUCUCCGGAGGUAUCCCAGGCAGCUCCUCUGGAAAUACAUAUGCGUACUCUCGUACCACUGGCACAUCACUCACUGUCGCCUGACCCGCCUCUCGGGUAUCCAAAACAUAGGUGAAAUACCCCGCGCAACCCUGCUGGAGGUAGCGCCUAUCCCUCACUGAUGAACAUAAAGUUGGUCUAUGCUGUGGCCUCUCGCCCUGAAUCAUCAGCUCUCCCCCACCUGAGGUCCUGAUCAAAACUAAUUGUUGUGCAUAGUCAAUCACUGCCCCAUUGGGGCUCAACCAAUCCAUCCAUAUGAUGACCUUGUUCCCUCGCAAUGGUAUGGGAACCAAAUCUACCAAGUAGCGCUCCUCGUACAACUUUAGAACACAAUCUCUGAAAACCUCUGAUGCACGCAAUGACCGGUCGUCCGCAAUCUCGACCUUUAGAGGGCAAUCUAACAUGCCCGAAGACUCAGGGAAACCUCUUGCUAAGCGCAAGAGAGACAAAUGAUCGGGUAUCACCCGAAUCAAACAACACCUGGCCGGAAUACCGUUCACCUGGACCCGAAGGUGUGCCCGAAUCCCCCAAACCUAGGCUCUGAUACCAACAUGUAACAUCCCAAAAUUUAGACCCAUUUUUUUUCAUUUUUAGAGUAUAUUACUUGUAAAAUCAGUUAACGGAAAACAACAUUGAUAUCAUUUUAACAUAAAUUCACAAAUCACAAGUCUCGAAACCAUAUGAUCAAAUAGUGUAAUAACAUAGUACAAUCCCAUGUUUCUAAAAUGCGGAAUAUCAUGUGUGAACGUGUCAUGCGCUGCUACCCGUCAACUCCUUCCCCUUAGAUGAAGAGGUACCUGAAACCAAAACAAACAACCGUAAGCAUAAAGCUUAGUGAGUUCCCCCAUCAUACCCAUAACAAAUAAUGCAUAAUCUUCGGUAUCUUUCAACCGGUAACUGUCAGGCAUAGCCAGGAGCUGGGCUCCUCCUCAGUAUCUUUCAACCGGUAACCGGGAACUAACCUCCCAUUCGGUAUCUCUCAACCGGUAACUGGGAGCUACCCUCCCCUUCGGUACCUUUCACCUGGUAACCGGGGACUAUUUCACCCCUACUACUGCUAACAUAUAUUAAGCACAAUAAACAUAUCAAGCACAAUAAUCAUAUCAGGCACAAUAAACAUAUCUCAUAUCAACCCUAGAUAAUUAUCACAAAGACAAUCAUCUAUCCAACACUAUUACUUGUGGGCCGGCAUUGUGGAUGUAGACCCACUCCUACUAGGAGAACAAUCACCUUAAAUUUUUGUGGUGUUUGUACUGGUCUCGGUAUGAAAACCAACUCUCCUUGAAUCCUCAAUCUCUACACAACAACUUUCUAACUUAUCAAUUCAUACUCGUAGCCCUUACAAGGGCCAACUCAAGUCCAAGACAAGAUCAAGGUUAACACCUUGAUCAAUGGUCAAUCAUCUAGUCAAAGUCAACAUCUGGUUGAAUCGACUCGCCGAGUUGGUCUGCCAACUCGCCGAGUCCCUAUGUUCACCUACUGCCAUAAUCUCGUCCUUACUCGUCCAAUCUAGCAAGAGCUCAACGAGUUCGCCUUCAACAACACAUCAGACUAUCUUCAACUGACUCGCCUAGUUCGUCCUUGAACUCAUCGAGUUCAUCUUCAUCCAUAUGAAGAUGUUCAGUCUAUGACUCGUUGAGUUCCCCUUGAACUCGCCAAUUUCGUCAUCAUGUGGUUGGGACAUUGCCUUGAACUCGCCAAGUCUGUUCAUCCACUCGCCGAGUCCUAUGAUUUCCAGGUCCCUAUUGAACCUAAGCAACUAAGGAACCUUCGAUCUUAACAUCUUGUCCAUAAACAGGAAGGGUUUGGUGGAAAAUACACUCCGACUCUCCGAGUCCCUCUUUGUCCAAAAAUGUACAAUCGAUUAUAAUGGGUCUUAACGCAUCCAAACCAUAGAUGUGGCCUCCUAGGUUCCAUUUUAUAUGUAAAACUAUAAACUUGAUGUACAUGCAUGGGGCCUUUGGCUCAAAAAGCCAUAAAGGAGGUCUACAAGAUGCAUAGGGUGUUUAUGGGGACAAAGUUGGCAUCUUUAUGCCACAAAGACCCCCAAUAGCCUCAUAUCCGAAGUGCAACUCAAAGCACACCCACAAAAUCCGAUUUUUUUCUUCUCUAUAUGCAUAAAAAGGGUAGAAAUAGCCCCAAAUCAAAAUCUAAGAGAUAGAUGGUUAAGUUUCCAGCUUUUUACCUUGAAUGAGCUAAGAAUGAAGUGAAACAUCUGGAUCUCCUUGCUUCCACUUGAACUUCCAAGCUUUCUUCUUCUUCUUCUUCAACUUCAAACACACACAAAAAGCACCAAGAGGCUCAAGAACACUCAAUAAGGGUUGAGGGUUUUAAUCUAGGGUUUCUCUUAUUUGGGAGGGUGAUGGAGGCUAGUUUGGGACGAGAUAAAGUGUUUAAAUAGGGUGCAAACCCUAAACAUUAGGGUUUUGUCCAGACAGUUCCUACUCGCCGAGUCGGUCUCCUGACUUGUUGAGUAGAUCAUUAAAAACUCCCGCCUAAUGUUGAUUCUACUCGACGAGUUGGGCCUCCAACUCGCCGAGUCCCAGAGUAAAUUACAACAAUACUUGAAUUUAAAUACAUACCAGGAACCGGGUGUUACUGUAUGUUAAGUCAGGUGCUUCUGCACACAUGAUAAAUUCCUCAACAAAUUUUGAUCACUCCAUUUCUUAUACCGGCCAAGACCAAGUGGUUAUGGGAAAGGACUAUUUUUUAAACAUUUUGGUUGUUGGUAACUCACAUAUAACUAAAAAUCUUAUCUUAUCUAAUGUUUUAGUGGUUCCUCACAUCACUAAAAAUCUAAUAUUAAUCAGUAGAUUGACUCAUGAGUCACCAGUGGAUGUUAUUUUGUCUAAUACCAUCUUUGUUAUUCAAAAUCACAGCACCUAGGAAAUCAUAACAAAAGGAAGAUGUGAGGAAGGGCUUUACAUAUUUGAGCAAGGAACCUGGGCAUUUCUACCUGUUUUACGGACUAAAAGGAGUAGUGCUUCCUUUGAACUUUGGCAUAAUAGACUAGGACGUGUAGCUUUUGAUAUUGUUUCUUUAUUAAAAAACAUGGGAUCUUUAUCAAUUACAUCUUUUCUACCUAAACAUGACAUUUGUUCUUCUUGUCAAAUUUCAAUAAUUAAACUUUUACCAUUUGAAAACAAUAUUAAGCGUUCACUGCACGUCUUAGAUCUUAAUAAUUAUGAUCUAUGGGGUCCGGCCUCGAUACUUUCCACAUAUGGCUAUAUGUAUUAUGUUGUGUUAGUAGAUGAGUAUUCCAGGUUCACCUGGUUCUACCUGCUCAAGCUCUAGUCUGAUUUCUCAAUAACUCUCACAAACUUCUUAACCUUUGUUUAAAUGCAAUUUUCUUGCAAGGUAAAACCUUCCAAAGCGAUAGAGGCACAAAAUUUAUCAAUCAUCGUGUAUGGGAAAUUUUUAUUACGAAUGGCACUCAUUAUAGAAUUUCGUGUCCCUACAUGCCGUAAAAAAUGGGUGUGCAAAACACAAAUAUCGUCAUAUUACCGAAAAGAGUAUAGCAAUGUUGUUCAAGGCUCAUGUUCCCACUUUGUAUUGGGUAGAUGCUUUAACUUCAGUUGUGUUCAUCAUCAACCGAUUGCCAUCCAAAAUUAUUGCAAACAAAAGUCAUUUCGAGUUACUUCACUCUACAACACUAAAUUAUGAUCGAUUUUGGGUUUUUGGAUGUCAUUUUUUCUCUAUUUGCGAGACUACACUUCUUACAAGUUAGCUCCUUACCUCGCAACACCUCUUACAAUGGAUAUCGAUGUCUUGAUCCAAACACAAAUCACAUUUACUGUAACGUCUACAAAAUACAUACAAAAUUUUUGUUUUUAAAUUCAUUCAAAAGAUGUGAUAAUUAUAUCAAAACAUUCGAAAGAGUAUCAUAUCAACAGUUUAUUAGAGUACAAAUUCCCAAAACCACAUAAUGCGAAAAUCAUAGGGUGAUGCAGUGCGAUCAGGCCGGGCCUUUCCUCUUCGUGCUGAAAGUACCUGAAACAUAAACUAAAACCAUAAGCACAAAACUUAGUGAGUUCCCCCAUAAUAUCCCAUACCAUAAAAACACAGUCAAGCAUAUCUAGGUGCUUGCAAUCCCCUUCGGUCUAUUUCAACCGAAUAUAGUCAAGCAUAUCUGAGUGCUUGUAAUCCCCAUCAGUCUAUUUCAACCGGAUACAAAAGUUGUUAAGUUCUUCCUUAAAUCUAGAUCUAAGCUUAGAAUGAACAAUUUUCAGCCUUUAUACCUCCAAUAAGCUAGAAAUGAUGCAAAAUUUUUGGAUCUACAAGCUACUUCUUCUCCUUUGCUUCUCCUCAAGCUUCCUUCUUCUUCAAAUUCAUAAAAGAACACCCAAAAACUCCUUGUAAGAUCAAAAUGCUCUCAAGAUGGAUAGGGUUUCGAUAUUAGCACUAAAAGGCAAUGGUAACUGAAAAUGUGAUGAACUUGAAGGACCUAAUGAUCUUAAAUGGGGUACAAACCCUAAAAAUUAGGGUUUUCCCAUAGCUUGAGUACGCUCAGUGUACGCAUGGGUACGCCCAGCCUACGCAGGGAUCACCAUGAUUGCGCACAUUGUCACAACUAGCAUUUCUUCCAAGGAAAUUCUAUCAAUGGAUGAUCAACUCUCAAUGUAUCUUGUAAUUCAAAGUUUGAUGAUAUACAUAUUACUCAUUCAUGAAGCCUAAAAUCUAAUUCAAUAUACUACAUUCACUCAACUUUGGGUUUGUAACCCUAACUUCCCGGUUCAAAACAUUUAUUAGGCCAGGAAUCAUUUGUUGGGCCUAAAGGGCGAAUAAAGUCUCGAUUGAAUUAUUUUGGGCUAAGAAUCCUUAUUUGGGGCCUAAAUGGACCCACAUUCAUUAAACUAUAAUAUUUUGGGCCAUAAGACUUUUAUGGGCCUUAUUGGGCCUAAAAUGUCUCACUUUUCUUCAUGGACCUUAUAGGGCCUAAACCCAUUCCUUUUUAUCAUUUUGGAACGUAAACACACAUGUGGACCUAAUGGGUCGAAAAAUCCUAUCUUGGGCCUUAUAAUUUCGAAUAUAUUCACUAAUAGCCCAAAAUUUUCUCCUAUCUUUUCUUUCCUCUUAUUCUUGGCUAUAUAUAUNUAUAUAUAUAUAUAAUUAUUGUAAAAAAAUAAAUAAAAUUAGUUGAAUUAAAACUUGACACCUCACUAUGGACUAGAGGGUAUCCAUGCAUUUUACCACACAAGUAUCGAGAAGAUCUCAUGCCUCCAUGCAUUACCUCUCACACUUCUCUCUUCUCUAUUCUUCUUGAUCUCGGCCGAGAACCACUCCUCACCAUUACUCUCACUUCAAUUUGAAACACAUGCUAUAAACCCUCUCAUAUUUCUCCAAGAACUUCAAGAAAAUCCCACCCGUCCACUUCAAAUUUUGUGUGUAUGCUUGUGUGAGAUCAAGGACUCCCCAUCAAAAAUAUAUUCAUUUUGGUAACCUAUUUCUCAUCAAAGUGUUUAACUUCAUGUUCAUGAUAAACUUACUUCUCUUAACACUCCAUUUCAUGAUCCAUGUUCCUUAGAAACCCCAUAAGUUCGAGAUCUACUCAAGGGAGCUUGCUAGGACCGAAAUCUCUCUCAUUUUUGCACCAAAAAUGAAUCCAUCAACCCAAAGUGAGUUCAUAUCCCCAAUUUUCAGUUUUUAUUAUGUUUUGGGGGAGGAUACAAGUUGCUUUGUGUAGAUCUAUGUGUUUAAGCAUGAUUAUGUAUGUUUUUCCAUGUUAUAUGCUGUGCUUAUGUGUUGGAACUUCAUAGAUUUUGAUAGAUCUACUAAAAUAUGGUGAUAUUAGUAAACUAAAACACUCCAUGCAACUUAUUAUGAAGAUAAAAGGAUUAAAAACAUGUUAAAGAUAUUUGAAACAAAGUAAAAUUGUGUAAAGGGCCAAAAAUUGACAAAGUAAACAAAAGGUGAGGUACUUAUGUAACUCACGGUUUUAAGAGGACCAAAAUGGGUCAUUUUUAAAUAAAAAUGGAUUAUUAUGAAUUUCAUAUUUUUAAAAUGGCCAAAAGUGUAAAUUUUCACAAAAUGAGCCUUCACGGUUUCACGGGGUAAAUUUGUAAAUUUUUUACUUUUGUGGAUUUAACUGUCAUUUUAAACGAAUUUGAGCCAACAAUGUUAAUUUUCGGUUAAAAAGGCUAGUAAUGCUAAUUUUACUAAAGUUGGGCCGAAAAAGGUAAUUUAUACACAUUUGGGCCGAAAAUGUCAAUUUUCAUAAAAUUAGGCCAAAAAUGUUAUUUCUAAUAAAAGUGGGCUAAAAAUGUCAUCUUAUUUUGAAACAAGCCCUAAAUGUAAACUUUUGGCCUUAAGGGACUUAAAGUGUCAUUUUUACCAAAAAUAUGCCUUGACUGUAAAUUUUCGGUUUUAUGGACCAAAAAUGUCAUUAUUACAAAAAGUGGGCCUUUUAAGUCAUUUUGGUAAACAAUUGAGUUCAAAUAACCAACUUAAUAAUAAACAGACUACAUACGUCAUUUACAUAUUCUAAUUGGGCCGGCAUAUACCUUACAUGCUUAUUGGGCCUUAGUGGUCCAUUUGCAUGUUUAAGUGGGCCUAGAAUACACCCUACAUGUCUAUUGGGCCUUUGUGGUUCAACUACAUGCUUAUUGGGCCAGUAAUAUACAUUACAUGUUAUUUGGGCCUUUGUGGCCCAUUUACAUGCUUGUUGGGCCCAAUAGACUUAAAACAUACACAGAACAUUAUUCACUGCGUUACAUAGUGUAAUACAAUAUUCGCGUAAAUUCAGUUAAGGCUCUUGUGAGACAUUUCAUUCAUUCUAACCUAUCUAGUGUACUACCAUAAGCAUGUAGUUAUAACCAAAGUCCUAUGAAGGGAGAGCGAGAGUUUGUGUAUAGAUCUAUACGGGGUUGACACCCCACACCUGAGCUGAUCGUUACAGCUAGACUAUGUCAGUCUAAGGUGACAAACCUUACCUUAAACAAGUCGGCGUCUGAAAAACGUCAUGACAGGCAUAUCAGUCUAUAUUAAGUAUUGUUAUAACGACUCACAUAGAGAAUAACUCCAUUAUAAAUUUACGGAUUACAUAUACUAAUUUGAUGAUACAAAAACAUACAUACAUACACUGGUACCCGGUCUUAGGGUUUUUAAGACCUCAACACUUUUAUAAAUAGAAAAUAUCGGAUUUUCUCGAAAAACAUACAAUUAUAAUGUAACUUCUAUUUACAACAGAAAAUAUAGGAAUUUUUGGAAUCCUCUUUUUAUACAUGUUCAAAACAGAAACACACAUGCUUUACACAAGAUUUGAUACAAAACCUUCAAACCAUUUUACAGAAAAUAUCGAUUUUUCUGGUGUUACUAAAUGAUACAAAACUUUUCAUUCAAACAUGCUUAUGAACUCACUAACAUUAUAUAUGUUGACGUUUUCAAAAUAACUUGUAUUCUCAGGAAAUCGUUAAACAGAUGGACAUCGAGAAAAUGUGGAAUUUAUUGCAUUAUGUUGCUAUUUUAAAACCUUAUAUUUUUGGGAUGUAACUUUUGUAAACAAUUACAAUGAUUUAAACUCAGUAUUCUUGUAUUAUUGUAAUUGUGAUGAUGAUGCUUGCCUUGUUUCUAUUAUAUUCACUGUGAUGAUAUUACAAGAUGAAGUCACCCAACCCCCGAACGUUUCCGCCAUUUCUCCGGUUUGGGGUGUGACACACAUGCAAGGAGUAUGACGUGCAUACCUAAUGUACGCCCAAUGUACUCAUGAACCCUUCACAACUUUUAAUUUAAUAUUGGAUAAAUUUUCAUACCUGGCGACUCGGGCGUUACAAUUCUCCCCCACUUGAAUCAGACUUCGUCCUCGAAGUCCACUACCAGAAAUAACUUUGGGUAAUGCUCCCUCAUCUCGUCCUCUGGAUCCCAUGUCCGUUCUGAACCCUUGUAGUGUUGCCAUUGCACCUAUAUCAACUCAACAACCUUGUUCCUCAAGGUUUUUGUCUUCGUGUCGAUGAUCGCUACCGGUCUCUCAAUGUAGUUCAGGCAGUCAUCCACGUAAAUAUCCUCCAAUGGAACCAUUAUUGAAUCAUCAACCAAACACUUCUGCAGCUAAGAGAUGUGAAAAGUACUGUGAAUCUGAUUGAAUUCAUCCGGAAGAUCCAAACAAUACACUACCCUGCCCACCCGAGCUAUAACCCUGAUAGGACCGAUAUAUCUGGGGCCCAACUUCCCAUGUUUCCUGAAUGGGAUGACACAUUUCCAAGGUGACACCUUCAGGAGAAUCAUAUCCGUGACAUCCCCAUUCUCAUGGACAGAAAAGACCAAUUUUGUUUAUGCUUGUUUAAAAAUCAGAGUAACAUUUUAAAGAAAAGUGUUGCGGAAUUUGUUCCUAGAAAAACAUGAUAAAUACGUUAUCAAAUCAUUUUCGAAGAAAUGUACUUUUAUUCAUUUUCAAAACAUCGGGAUGUCAUCGUCAAUACAUAAACAUAAGCAUAAACAAAACUUACAUUUAUUUACAAUAGUGAUCUACAUCUCUUUUAAAUCUCUCAGUGUAAAGUAGCUUCAUAUCGACACCUGUGAUAUAGAUAAACUUGAGUGGGUUAGGUUGGGAAACCUGGUGAGUACAUAAGGUCUUCAAACCACAAUAAUAUAAUUAUUAUGUUUAAACAUCAAACAAUCAACCCAAUUACCCAUCCCUAUUUAUCUUCUUUACUCUUAAGGAUCUACCCUAAGAAUCAGCUAUUCCUCGUUCAUUCAUUCCUAAGGAAUAUCCUGAGGAAUAGGCAUGAAGUCCAUCAUUGCCAAUGACACAGUUGUCAAGCACAACUGCUAAUAUUAUCAUUUAGGCGCAGCUGCCAGAAUUAUGACAUUCUUUGUGUGGUGCAGCUGUCGGUAUUGUCCUUUAGGCGCAACUGCCAUGGUUAUGAUGUUCUCUAUUAGGCACAACUGUCGAUACUAUCCUUAGAGCGCAACUGCAAGGAUGUUUAGAUUACAUUGUAGAUCAAAAACAUCUAUAGGUUGUGGCGCAGCUUCCAAUGCUCAUCUAUAGGGUACUAAGUCCAUUGCUGCCAAUGUUCACCUAUAGGGCACUAUGUCCAUACUACCAAUGUUCCUCUAUAUCAUCUUUCAUGCCUCAUCACUCAUCUACCCAUGUUUUACCCAACAUAUUUAGUAGACAUAAAAUACAUAUACAUUUUAAAUCAUUUAAAACAUGUAUAAAAUCGUUCAUCCAGCAUAGAUAACAAGUAUACAGAUAAUAUGUAUACAUAUCACGUAAUUUAUAUAAAAUACUUCAUAUCUAUAUGUAAGAUGAAAGUAACUAUGCACUCACUUGUUAAAGUGAAGACUCGAAAUUCGAGCAGUGCUUCGCUUCUUAACAAUAUGAUUUCCUUCGACGAAACCUAGUAUCAUUACCACUAGAUUUUAGUCUAAUAUUCAUUGGGACUAAUUAUUAGUCUAGAUUCAUUAUUAACUCAAAGUCUACUUCAUGAUCUAUCAAGUAAGGAACAACCAUGUAGGAUCAUGUCGGAGGUAGGGUCCGUUUGGUAUACGAAGUAUACUGUUUGGAAAUCUCACUUUAAACACCUCACUUAAUCAUAGCCUAGACAUCAUCCCCGUAAGUAGAUCAAUCAGUAUAACGACUUUGAAUCACUAAUAAAUUAUAUUUAUAGGUUCAUAAUAACGAUAUUAUACUUAUAUAUAAGCAAUAUUUAAAAGUAUGAUAGGCGUAUCUCACUUACAGCGGGUUUUUAUUAAAAACCAGGCUUCGCUGGAGUAACGUUUCUAAGCCGAAAAGCUCUUUUUUUUGAGCCUUCGGGAGCUCCGGGGCUUCCUUCGGGUGCUAGGGGGUUCCCUAGUGUUUGGGAGGGUUUAGGAAGGCUAGAUAGAGUAGAGAGAGAAAGGAGUGGAGAAAGGUGUGAUUUUUUCCGCCGCACCUCGCAUGUAUUUAUAAGCCAAGAACUUCUGGGAACGUUGCGCGUUCAUGCGAGGGUAGGCGUACCUCGGACGUUGGGCGUUCUCGACUAUGCUGGGCAUUCGUACGAGGACGUGUCCGAGCUAGCUUGGUGCGAUGUGGAGCUUCUGAGACCAAGCGAUUCCGAACGCGGGGCGUCCCUUCUACGUGGCGCGUAUGCGAGGCCAGGUGUCUCCAUCCGAAGCGAGGUCGUGGGCGUUAAGCGACGACUGGGAUUGUGCCAUGUCACCGGUUCUCGCAACAACUUCACAAAUUUGCUUCCCGACUUCUAAAAUUCAUAACUUUCACAUACGAGCUCCGUUUUUGACAUUCUUUAUAUCACACGUAGGUGAGAUCAUACUCUACAACUUUUGUUUAGACUCCAUCGGCUAAUUUUGAAUUUAUUUUUAAAGUUAUAUUUUUAACAGUCCGAGACAGGAAUAGUCCGUUAAAAAUUCACAACUUCUUCAUCUAACGUCCAUUUCCGUAUGUCUUUCUACCGUUACACUACUAUUAAUGAGAUAUUCGAUUCUCGUUUAGGUUGUGUCGGCCAAAAGUCGCUCGAUCUAAUAUUCGGACUCUGGGUUGCGCACUUCCGAUCAAAAACUUAGAAAAAUCAUAACUUCCUCAUACGAAGUCAGAUUUGGGCGUUCUUUUGAUGCAUGCUCUCCGUUUAACGAAAUCUACAACUUUAGUUUAGAUCGCUAAGGCCAAAAAUAAUUCCAUCGUGAAUUCACUAUUUACGUCACGCAACGCCGUGCCGGUUUUGUCGUGAAACUUCGACAGGUCAUAACUUCUUCGUUAUAACUCGGAUUUCGGCGUUCUUUAUAUCUAUGGAACCCUUGUGACAUAUUCUACAACUUGGUUAAGAUUACUCCUUCUAAAUAAUCUUCCAUCAAAAACUUAUUUUUGAUGCUCAUUGUCUCUAAAUUGACUAGCCCGAAUCUGCGGGCGUUACAAUAUCCCCAACCUAAAACUCUAGGUUUGAUCGGCGCUUGUCGGCAUAUCUCCUCUGCCGAAUCUAUUCCGUCUGGAGCCUACUCUGAUCCAGUUGAAUCAACUCGAUGGUCUUGAAUACCACCUCAGUACUCCCCUUGACCCGCUAACAAACCUUUCCCUAACAUAUAGGGGUCCUACACUUCCUUCCAUAAAGCAUCUCAAAAGGAGGCCGAUCGAUGCUAGUGUGAAACUAUUGUUAUACUAAAAUUAUGCUAAGAGAAGAUACGUAUCCCAGCUCCCGCCAAAAUCAUAAACACAUGCCCGCAACAUAUCCUCUAAUGUCUGGAUGGUACGCUCCCUCAGACGAUCUGUCUACGGGUAAAAGGUCGUGAUGAAAUGCAGAUGAGUACCCAGCUCCUCGUGGAACCUCUUCCAAAACCUGGAAUUAAAUCGGACAUCCUUGUCGGAAACCAUCGAAAUCGACACCCCAUGCCAUGCCAUAACCUCCAUUAUAUAAAUGUCAGUCAAAUUCUCCGUAGAGGUACUCUACUGAAUUGGAAUAAAAUGCACGCUCUUGUUCAGUCGCUCCAAGAUGAUGCAAAUCGAAUCCACUCUGCACGCUGUCCGAGGCAACUUCAUACUGAAAUCCAUGGUAUCUCUUCCUAUUUCCUAGCGGAAAUUUCUAACGGAUGCAUCUUGUCGUGAGGCCGCUGAUAUUCAGUCUUGAAUUUCUUGCAAGUCAAGCACCUCUCCACAUACCAAGCUACAUACCGCUUCAUAUAGGGCCACCAAUAAUCAGGACAUAUAUCUCUAUACAUCUUCGUCGCCUUGGGAUGAAUGGAUAAUCUCGAUUUGUGUGCCUCCUCCAUCAAAACGUGUCGCACACCACCCUAGUAAGGAACCCACACCCUCCGAUGGAGAUUCAAUAAUUCACGGCUAUCAUAAUCAAAGGAAGCCACUUGACUCACUAUGUACUCACUCUUCCGAUGCUCUUCCUUCAUAGCCUCAACCCGAACCUCCCGAAUCUGCUCCAAGAACAGAGUAAUAACUGCCAUGCUCAUACAGAUAUCCCUGAUCAGAGCUACAACCUCCUUGUGGAUGAGAGCAUCGGCAACCACAUUGGCCUUCCCCGGAUGGUAAAGGAUCUCACAAUUAAAAUCCUUCACUAUAUCCAACUACCAACGCUGCCUCAUGUUCAGAUUCAGAUGAUCCAUCAAACGCCUCAAGCUCUUGUGAUCUGUGUAAAUAGUACAACGGAACACAUAGAGACAGUGUCGCCAAAUCUUGAGGGCGAAAACUAUAACCCCAGCUCCAAAUCAUGCGUCGGAUAAUUUGCCUCAUGAGGCUUCAGUUGCAUCAAAACCGCACCCAAUCCCAUGACAGAAGCAUCACAAUAAACCAUGAAAUCCUUAACACCCUCCGACAGGGUCAGAAUCAGCGCCUCAGACAAUCUCUGUCUCAAGGUCUUAAACGUUGCCUACUGCUGAGGCCCCUAGCGAAAAGUGACUGUCUUCUUCGUCAAUCGAGUCGUAGGAACCACUAUAUCGGAGAAAUCUCGAAUGAAUAUUCGAUAGUAACCUCCUAACCCAAGGACACUCCAAAUCUCAUUUGGAUACCUCGGAACCUCCCACCUCGUCAUGGCCUCGACCUUGGCCGGAUUGAUCAGAAUACCAUUCUGGUUGACAAGGUGCCCCAGAAACUGCACCUUGCGCAACUAGAACUCACACUUAGAGAACUUUGCAUAUAGUCUCUCCCUCCUCAGAGUCUCCAAUAGCUCCCUCAAGUGCUCCUCAUGCAGCUCCUGGGUCUGUGAAUAGACUAGGAUGUCGUUAAUGAAUACAAUCACAGACCGAUCCAACAUCGGUCGACACACGUAGUUCAUGAGGUCUAUGAAUGCGGCUGGAGCAUUGAUGAGCCUAAAGGGAAUCACCACAAACUUGUAAUGAUCAUAAAGAGUCCAGUAGGCCAUUUUCUGCACAUCGUCCUCUCUGACCCUCACCUGAUGAUAACCUGAACGAAGAUCAAUAUUGGAAAAUCAAGUUGCAUCCUGAAGCUGGUCAAACAAAUCAUCAAUCCUCACGAGUGGAUAAUGGUUCUUCAUCGUUAUCUUAUUCAGAUCCCUAUGGUCAACACACAUCCAAUGCGACCUAUCCUUCUUCUUCACAAUCUAGAUCGACACUCACCAUGGCGAACUACUCGGUCGAAUGAACCUCUUGUCUAACAGAUCCCACAUCUGUGUAGACAACUCGUGGAGUUGUUAAUUUGUAUCUCUUUGUGUAUGAGCGAACUACUCCGUGCCAUUUUUUUAAAUAAUAUCUCUCCCAUACACAAAGAGAUACAAAUUAAAAACUCCAUGAGUAUCGUACAAAUCUUGUUGGCUUAACAUCUCCCUAUAACACCUAGAUGACCAAUUAAUAUAAAAUAUAAAGGUUUGAUUAUCUUCAAAGUAAUAGAUGCUAAACCAAUAUUUUUAUUAACCUUUUUCUAAGGGCCUGGUUUUGUUGAAGAACGAAUAUCAAAUAUCUGUCAGCCUAAAGUUAUAUCAUUAACUUACAGAAUAAGCACAACUUUAAUUUGAUUCAACUUUUUUUAUUAUAUACCCUUGCACCAUGAAUGCACCUAUAAUAGCAAAACAUCACGUUGCGAUGAACUCCUAUACAAAUUAGAUCGAAUAAGCCACAUUUUUAUAUAAUAAACAACCUAAAUUCGAGAAAAGUGAAAGAAAAGCCUACAUAAAAAUAAAAAUAUAAAAAUGCAUUAACUCAGUCAAAGAAAAGAGUCGAUAAACAAAUCAUAUACCUUAAACCACUAUGAGGAAGCAUAAAGUCUAUUUCUAUUGUAUUUCUUACAACAAAUACAUCAAUCAGAAUAAAUAGAUGCAAAAAAGAUCUAUUUUCUUGUUACAUGGAUCUAUGCACAAUGAAAAAUGAUGAAAGAAUCAAACAUGCAAGAUAAAAACAUGACAAUGUAUAGAUGAACAAUCAAACCAAUUAAAUCAGAAAACAAAAUUUAUAAAAAUGAACAAAAAAACUUGGAAAUCAAAGGAAAGGGAAAUGAAUCAGAUCUAGAUCGACUUUUGUAUUUUAAUCAAGAAAUAAUUCUCUUUAACAUUUCAUCUAACACAUGGUAGGUUAAAAUCUGUGAAUAUAAGUAUCAACAUCAAAGACAAUAUUUAAAAUCCUAAGUUAAAAAUACCAAAUAUCUUGGUUACACAAAUAAAUAUUUUUAACUUACCUUGGCCUAAUAUAAGAAACAACAUGAAAUAAAGAAAUUCAAUGCCCAAAAAUCAAUUCAAAAAAUCUAAAUAUCCUAACAAUGAUAUAUUUCCUAAUUUUCUUAAACAUUAAUACAUAUAGUUUCCAUUUAUAUCUUUUUUCGAUUCACCGAUAUCUAGUUGUUUAGUAUUUACGUAUUUAACAUAUAAAUUUCGAUAUAAAUUCAUUUCAAAUAAGCAUUGGGUACCCGAUGAGUAUGAACUCCAGAAUCUAAGAGCAAAAACCAGGACAUGUUAUGAUUGGUUCCAAACUCUACGAACCAGACAUGAUCCUACUCAAAUCGAUCGUGGUUUGAAAAUUGUUAGUUCCGAUUCAAAAAGCCAAAUUAUUGAGUUGCACAUAGCGUCUCCAAAUAUGAGGGGUGUUCCAUCUCUUUGCUCUUUUCUAUUUUUUCUUCGUCCCCAUGCCUCAACAACUAAACGAUAUGAUUACCCGUCUAAUUAAAAUCAAACCUAUGUAUAGCAAAAGACACAUAAACCAAAGCAAAAACUAAAACUCACAUUCAAAACGAUAUACCAAGAAGAGGGAUUUGGAAGAUACUAGUAAAUAAAAUUAUUUUGAAUGACUAAAUAGUAAAUGCAAUAACAAAUUGCCCAUAAUCCAACUUUAAACUUGUAUGUGGACCUUUAUUUAAAAUAAUUAAGACAAAAAAUACAUCAACAGUUUUUAAGAAAAUGUUAAAAAGCUUUGGUAGGUACCUUAUAGAGAGGGGUUUCUCCUCCAAAAAAUUGAACCUGAGAGGCAAAAUCGAGCCUAAGAAAUAAGAACCGCAUUAUGAACUAAAUAACAACAAAAAAUUAACACCACAAAUUGUUUGUAUAACACUUACGUGAUAGAAGAGUUGUGAAAAGAUCAUGUGAGAACAUACAUGUAUGUCGUUAUAUCUGUAAAACGGGAUUCGUUUCCCUGAUAUAUCAUAAAAAUCCAAACGUAAGUACAUGUUUUGACAAAAAAAUGAGUUAAGAUGAGGCAUUUAAUGCAUUAUUGUGACAUUCAAGUGGAAAAAGUUGAUUUCUAUAGAUCCAUCUCACGAUAGAAAAGGCAGUCAGUUGUGAUGUUGUGGUGGUGAAGGAGAUAGAAACUGCAUCAAUCAGUGAUGGUGGUGGUUAGGUUCCUUACAUAUUUGAGAACAUGGAUCAUGAAUAUCCUAAUACGAGAGUCAAUCUUUCCGAAUCUACCUCUUCAAGCACUGGUACAUGGCAACAUAAUGAUACAAGUGCUAAGUUUGUGCAAGUGGUAGAUGAUGGUGGCGGCAGCUAAAGCCGAGACCUCGGAUGCAAUUGUUUAUGUUUGUUUAGCCUUUGUUGCAUACCAUUUCUUCGAACGAUGGAGAAUAAGGCAUCUAGGUUUUUUUUAAAGAAAAGGCGACAAAGUUAGUUUUAAACUACAAAUUGAUUGAAAAGGGCCAAGUCAAAAUAAGAACAACAUAUAUUUGAUGAAAUGUUUCCGAUAGUUUCAAACAAAGACUCGAUUGCUCAAGGAAGGGUUGAGUCAAAAGUGUGCAAGAGUUAAGGAUGCCUAUGAUUUCAAUAAUUGUAUUUGGAGUUUUAUAUCUUGUACCUCUUAAAACUCAGCAUUUGAGUCUAAAUGCUUAUCUUCUCAUCUAAUAAAUGAAUCCUUAAAAUGCCACAUGUCCUAUUUCUACAUCUUUUCUUUGCCAUGUGACAUUUUUCUAAACCCUCACUAAAUGAUUUUCCGCCUAUGUAUGACCUUAUCAAUUUAAAUCAUUUCUAUUUUUUAAUCGGUACCUUAAUCCCAAGUUUGUUGGGAUAUCAAUUGCUCCAACAAAUCUGCCUUUAAAUUUGAAACAGAUUGCUAUUUUUUUCUUCUAUUUUGUCAACGAUUUUUAGGGCUUGAUUCACCACCGCACUUAUGGUUUGUAAGGUAAACUCCGAUCUGCGUAAUAUUUUCUUGAAAAUUAGGUUUUAUGGUUAAAUUCCAUUUGACUUUGGUUUUGUGAUUUUUCAGUGGAGUUCUAUAAGGUACACAUCAACUUUGUUAUUAAUUUCCCCUAUAACUUAUUUGAUAGUAGAGGGGGUUUAAGUAAGUGUAAUUCCUUGCUUUUUGUGAAAGAGGUCGUCUAAUUCCUACAUAUACACUCUCUCUUGUGUUAAAGUAAGUAUGCUUCAUUGAUUUUUUGAUUAAUCUAUAUGCAUAUGUCUAUAUGUGUGUUUGUAAGAUUAUGUGUUUGUAUUAUCCUGCUAUGUUUUGUAACUUCAUUUGGAUGAAUAAAAUCAAAUGGAUUUGAUCUGAAUAGUGGUGUUUAUUUUUUAUGUUUAUGUUACCAUGUUUCUUUGUUAUAUCUUUUGUAUUUUGUAUGUCUCUAAGGUUGAAAGUUGUCCGAUAGGACCUUUGGUGGUUUGGCAUGGUUUAGGAUUUCUUAUUAAAGUAUAGAGCCUUUCUUUUCUAGCACUUUAAGUCCUAACACCUCAAUAUUAGGACGUGCAGAGAUGUUGAGAAAUCUCAAAUAUCAUACCAAUGCCAUUAUAUCACUAUUUCGUUCAUUGGGAACUCUCUGCAUUAGUUCUAGACGCCUCGAUCGCCUAAGGUGCUUAUUUGUUUUCUGUCUUUCUAGAUUUGUUACAAAUCUUUCAUAUAAUUAGUGUUUCCAAUUUGCAGUGGGUAUGUCAAUCACAUUCAUGAACCUAUGGCUAAAUUUAGAGAGUUAAAGGCAAAAUAUGUACCAUCUCUACAAAAAAGAGUGAGUUCUAUAACUCGAGCAGACUACAUAUAGUUUUAUGGAGUCGAGGUAUAUGGAAUUAUGUUUCCAAUCAGUGGUCUCAAUGGCUGUCACACCCCCAAACUGGAACGGCAGAAAUGUUCGGGGGCGGAGGACGUCAUGUACAGUAUCAUAACAAUGCACAUUAGUAAAACAAGCUACAACAUUAUCCAUUGCAUUAAUAAUAUAGUUUAUACAUGUGUGUUCUGUGCAUAGUUGUAAGACACCAAAAAUAUAUAUAUCAAAAAGAAAGAUGAGUCUUGAUCCUGCUCCGUCUUCUCAAAACCUGUGCAGAUGUACCUGAUGACCUAAGAAUACAAGUUAUUUUGAAAGAGUAGAUCAGCAUUUAAGCUGGUGAGUUCAUAAGUAUUUUAGUGUCAAAAGUUUGCAUCUGUUUUAUGAAAAUGUUUGUAAGUGUUUUUAUGUAAAAGUUUGUAUACUUCCUAGAGAAUCCUAUAUUUUCUGCUAUAAUGAAAAGUAGUCUUCUACCAAGACUCAACUGUUUUGUAUGUUUGUUUUCUCGUAAAAGUGUAUGUUUUUCCAAGUUUAUGACUAUUUUUACUAGAAAAUAGUUUGCAUUUCUCAAUGUGAGAAUAUUACAGCAUGAAUGUAAUGGAAAAAUGAAAGUGAACAGUAGUGUUGUAUAAAAUAACUAUUGAAGCACUAACUACCUUAAAACCAAAUUGUUAAUUAAGGCUAAAAUGUGAUGUGGUUAUAACCAUGCUGAUUGACUAGUAUUUAACAUGAUGACCUGCUGGCAUCGAAACUAAUGUGACAUUUGUCACCCCUUGGCCUGCCGGCCAAACUGUAGCGAAUAGUUGGGAUGUGGGAUUGUCAGUCUCGUAUAGAUCUAUACACACAAUGUCCGCUCUCCCUCCAGGAGACUUUGGUUACAAAACGCAACAUAACAAGUAUAUUGUUAUGUCGUGAAGCAGUGGUUUCACAUUAUUGUUAUCUUGUUCUUGUUAUAGUAUGUAUGUUCCUUUCUAUCCUUGUUAUAGUAUGUAUGUUAAGGUAUAGUAAUAGUAUGAAUGUACUGACUCAUGUAUGUUUCUCUGCUCUAGAAAUAGUAUGUAAUGAACCUCUAAACUAUACCUAUUAUAGUUUACUAGUAUGUUUGUUUGAACUGUUACUGAUUGUAGAAAAGACUCAAUUACUCACCAUAGGCAACUAAGUUAAGUAUGUACCUUAAAAUGGGUUUAAUAUUCAUAUAUGUAUUUAAUAAGUAUAACUAUGAUUUAGCCGAUAGUCAGACUAAUGAUCCUACCCUAAGCCCACAACCAAACAAGGAACAAGAGUUAAGGUAUCUAGCAAUAGUCCUAAGUCUGUUAAAACAUACUUAUACGUAAACCAAUAGACGAAUAUGAUUUGAUAUAAAAGAAGUUUAUAAAAUUUUUAAAAGAGUUUUAACAAGUUUUGAGUAUAAGAAAUCCUUUUGUUUGCUGUUUUCACAUGUAAAUGGUUAACACAUUUGUAUUGUGUUCUACUUGUAUUCUUCCCCAAANCUAAAAGCCUUUAAAAGUAUUUAAAAGUAUUUAAAAGUGUAAUUGUAGGGGUAUAAACUCACUGUAGUGAGUGAUUCGAAUGAAAUAUCGAUAUAGGAUGCUAAGUGUGUCAAGUGAAGUCCUGAGCAUAAACGGAUCCUAUUUAACAUAUAUUAACAUAUAUAGGCAUACAAUUAGUGUUUAUAACAACUAAAGUGUAUAGGAAACAACCUUAUGAUCUAGGAAACACUUACAAUGAAGUGUUAGAAUUGAAAAUGGGAGGCUGAAAGAUGUUCACGGCCAAAAAAGGAGGGUUCAUGACCCUUGGGUUGUUCACGGCCUAAGAAUACUUGAUGUGUUGGCCCAAUGAUGAAGAUAAGGAGGGUUCACGGUCCACGAUGUAGGGUUCACGGCCUUAGAGUGGUUCACAGCCCUAGAACACUUGAAGAUCCUUGAAGAUGAUGAUGAACAAUGAUGAAUAAAUGAUAGAGUCAAAGGGGUUUCUAAGCAUGAACAAGUAAAGAGAUGAGAUACUUACGUUUUUGGGGUGAAAGAAGACUCUUUUGCGGAUGACACUUGAGAGAGAAUUAAGGUAUUCACGGCUAGAAAAUGGAGAAGUGAAGAGAAAAUGGCCAAAACUCAUGUAUAUGACAUGAGUUCACGGCCCAAGGUGGGUUCAUGGUUGUGAACCUAGUUUGCGGCCGUGAACUACUUUUGAGGUGUUUCCGGCUCGAUUGCAACUCACUGGUCUCAAGCGAAAACUUCCUAACACACAAUCCUUGAGUGUACUUGGCUUAGAAACUCUUAAACAAGCCCUUAACACAGCAUAAAGGUAACAGAAACAAGUCUAACUUUAAAUUGAUUUGAUUCACUCUACAAGAUAGAAAAUUAGGGUUGUCAUAGUGGCUACCCAAUAAUGUUCUAUAUUUGAGUCAGUAUAUCAUUUCUAAUAACAAACAACUGUUAUUAAAGAGGUUAUAAUCUUUUUCUCUAACAUGCUUUUAUAGAAACCUACUUGCAUGGGCUAAAUAUUAGCACAAACAAAGAACUUGUAUUCAUGUUUCAUUAUAAACUAUCGAAUUUGAUAUUAAUACCAAUGAUGUCGUUUACCAUCUUUUUAUUAAAUCAAAGUGGAUGAACGAAAAUUUCUUUUAAAUCGAUACAACUUUGAUUGAGGGCCGGUUAUUUUAAAAAUUGGGUUGUUGUUUCUAUAAAAGGAGGGUUGUUUCUUUUGAACUGAUAUCAUAUUAGUUGAUGGGUUGUUUACAUGUAGGUUUCUAUUUAAUCAAACUAGAUGAGGGGUUGUUUGUUUAAAACUAGGUUGCUAUUUUAUGCAUUUAACUUUUUGGUGCUAUAAAGUGUAAAAAAAUUAAGUUAAGAAAUGAAGGUUGCUCUUUUAUGCAUUUAACCUUAUGUUUGUCCUUUAUAGUUUAUUCAAAGUUUUUUUUUUUUUUGUUACAGAAUUACCCUUUCGGUCAUUUUACUAUUCCAUAGAGAAGUCCGAAAGGUAAAUAUUAUUAUUCCUUAGUCAUGGAAACGUCAAUGUUUGUUGUAUUUUUUUAAUCAAACGUGUUAAUAUUUAAUAAUUCAUUCAAUUCAUAUUCUUAAGUAAAAAUGUUUAAUUCUCUGUUGAAUUUCUUUUUUAUUUUCUGAAAUUUCAUAAAGUUGUUCCAUUUUAGACUGUGGUGGAUUUAUGCUCAAUUCACUCAAUUGUUAGACUUCUUUAUGCCCUGUGUGCGCCAAAAACAAAGGAGCAAACAUACUUAGAAAUUUUAAAACUAAAUAAGUUUAAAAUUAUAAAAUCCCUUCUAAUCAAGUGAGAUAUCUCAUAAUGUUAACUAUCGUGCGAUUUAUUGGAAAAUUUGUUUGUCCAAAAGGAAAAAAAAAUUACAAUAAAAUAAAGUUUAAUUAUAACAUGUUAAAAACUUUUGAAAAGGUUUAAUGAAUGAAAAGAAAAAAAAUAUAUAUACAGGUUAUAUUCAUAGAUUAAAAAUAUGUUUAUAUGUUGCAAAAUAUAUCAUAAAUUGAGAAAUACAUCCAAAUCUCCCAAUUAUAUCUUUUUACUUUAAUGUUUUUAAUUUCCUUUAAAGUCUUGUUGAGGAGAUCACCAUUUUUUAAAAGAAGAUUCACUGUAGCAACAAGACACAUUAGGAAAUUGAUAGUCAUUUAAAAAAGUGGUAAGCUUGUUUAAUAAGUCAUUUAUUUCAUGAUUUUUAUAUGAAUCAAUCUAUUUUCAUUAUAUAUAUAUAUAUAUAUAUAUNUGAUUUUUAUAUGAAUCCAUCUAUUUUCAUUAUUUUUAUAUAUAUCCAGUAAUUUUAUUAAAGUGAUAAUUUAUUUUUGAUGACUAAAAAAUAUAAAAGAUUUUUUAAUAAAAAUAUAUUUUUAAUGAGUUUUACACAACCAGUUUUUACACAUGAUCAGAUUAAAACUAAUAAUUUUAGAUCCAAAAUCAUAUACUUAUAAGUACAACUUCGUAUAUUAUGUAUAAAAAUAUGUUUAGGAAUUUCUGAAAAAUGAUAUAGUUUUUUUUUUCUUAAUAACAUAUUUUUAUCGGUUCUUGAUAACGCAUAUUUAUUCAUCAUUUUGAUUUGUAUUUUAUUUUAUAUUAAACAAUGUUAUUUCCAUGAUUGAUUGUUUUUGUAUAUUUCACUCAAUUAAAUUUUAUAUUACAUUAUAUAACUCUAUAAACUUAAAGAAUAAUGUAUAUAUUUUCAUACCAUUUUACAUAUUAAUUUAAAAUAAGGAGGAUGCAAUUAUAUAAAAAUAACUUUUUGUAAAUCAAAACCUUGCGUGACUAGUCCUUCGGAUGUUAAAACUAAGUUUUCACAUGUUAAUUUUUUAGAUGACAAAUUUACCUUGAAAUCACACAAAUGGUCCUUGGGGUUUAUUGUAUAUUGCAGGUGAAAGCUUAGUUUUAACAUCCGAAGGACUAGUCAUGCAAGGUUUCGAAACCAUUGGGACGAACUACGUCACAUUUUCAAUAAUUGUCCUCAAAGUGAAACUUUUUAGAAACCACGUUCACCACUUUUGAAAUUUUGUCUUGAAAUUUUAGAAAAAAAAAAUUCUAAUAUAUUUAUAAUGUAAUUUAUUACACGUUAAUUUUGUAAUUAUGGUAAGGUAAUAUUGUAUUAUACCACAUCACCAUAUUAUUGCAGUGUCAUUUUGUCGCCACAUUAUUUUUCUCUCACCCCCAAAAACUGGUAGGUGUCAUACCACACCUUACCAAACCUUUAAUAUUUUUGUAUUUUUUUUUCAUUAAAUUGUAACACUUGAAUCCUGGUAUGCUCUUAUUUUGCCCUUGUUGUUAAAUAAUUUGCAUUUUGGUACUUGAGCAGUACGUAGGGCGUACCACUUGCUACGCUUAGCAUAAAAGAUGUAAAGCGAGUACGUGUGGCGUACUACUUGGUACGCUUAGCGUACUGAUGUGAGGUUGGGACGAGACUCCGAACAUGUAUGUUGAGCGUACAUAUAUAUAUAUGCGGGGCGUACAUAUAUGUACGUGCGACGUAUGUGAGUUAUGUUGAAACCCUAAUUUAGGGUGUUGUGCCCUAUAUAAAGGCCUUAAAUCCUCAUGGAUGGUCUCCUUACCAGCCUCUAUUGCCACAAAAACCCUAAAAUUGACCCUUAAACCUCCUUGUGGUGUUCUUGAGCUAUUAAGAAGACUUUGGUGCCCUUUUUUUUUGCCUUUGUUAAGGAAGUGGAGAAACUUGAAGUUGUCAUGCUUGGUAAGAAAGUCUUGGAUCCAUAAUCAUCAUCUUGUGGGAAAGCUUUCCGAGAUAUCAAGUUUGCAUCUUGGCUUGUAUAUGUUUAGAUCUCUCCGUGGUUAGUUUGUUAUGCUUUUAGUCCCUUUUUGGGUUGAUGGAAGAGUUUGUUGGAUUAAUGUCUAGGUCUAUAACUAUAUUUGGUAUGUAUUUGACCCGACCCGGCAUGGUCCAUUUGGGUUGCACUUCACCGACACAAUUUAUAUGGAUAAUCUUUUGAGAAUAGUAUAUUUAUGAUUUAUAUUAAUAUAUUAUAAGUUCUAAUAUAUUAAUAUGGAAUCAUAUUAUUUAAUUAGUAUUGAUCAAGAAUUAAUUUAUAAUUAAUUAAGUGAUCAAAAGGAACUAAUUAAAUAUGGACUCUUAUAUAUAUGGAAUGGGCCAAGUUCAUUUAGGUUGGGCUAAGCUUUCAUGGAUAGUCCAUGGAGUGUUUAACCCAUGGAUCAUAUGAAAUGAAAGGUCAUGGGUUUAACCCUAGUCUCCAUACUAUAUAAAGAUGUCCUUGGUUGGUGAAAUUGGCACUAGUGUGGGUACACUAAGAGGGCUAGCCGAUUUCACUAGAGAGAACCAAACUAUUUUUAUUCUCAAAGUCUUCCAAGGUGUUUUGGUGAUUUGUGAUUCCACUUGAGGCUUCCACACUAUUGGGGCUAAGCUCUUAAAGCUUGAAGACAUCAAGCUACAUUAAAAGGUAUGUCAUCUAACUAGUACUUUGUAGAAUAAGAGCUUCACAAUAUGCUAGUUAGGAUUAAAGCCUUGGAAAGUUCUUGUUUGCAUGUAUAAUAGAGAAAACAUAGAUCCAAGGUUUAUAGGGUUGCAUGUACACCAUAGGAGUGUUAGAAUGCUCAAAACCCAACAGUGGUAUCAGAGCCUAGGCUUGUUUUCUUGUUAUACUUGCAAAANNNNNNNNNNNNNNNNNNNNNNNNNNNUUUUUUGGUGAUUUGUGAUUCCACUUGAGGCUUCCACACUAUUGGGGCUAAGCUCUUAAAGCUUGAAGACAUCAAGCUACAUCAAAAGGUAUGUCAUCUAACUAGUACUUUGUAGAAUAAGAGCUUCAUAAUAUGCUAGUUAGGAUUAAAGCCUUGGAAAGUUCUUAUUUGCAUGUAUAAUAGAGAAAACAUAGAUCCAAGGUUUAUAGGGUUGCAUGUACACCAUAGGAGUGUUAGAAUGCUCAAAACCCAACAGUGGUAUCAGAGCCUAGGCUUGUUUUCUUGUUACACUUGCAAAAUUGGCUGAAAAAUCGAGUUUUUAUGCUGUCUGCUCAGCAAACUCGCCGAGUCCACUGAUGGACUCGCCGAGUCCAAGACAAAAUGCAUCCAACUCGCCGAGUUGGUUCAUGCAUUCGACGAGUUGGACCCCAGAGAACAUAUAUUCGAUUGUUUUGGCUAGAAUUGGACUAGGAACAUUACCCUAAGUUGUUUUUGAACUUAUAAACUUGUUUUUGAUGUGGUAAUGUUCAUGCUAAUCCAAUUUCAAAGAUAAUUGUCAAUAGAUUCAUGUUUUGUAUUAGUUUAAAAGUUAUGCUAAUUACAAGAAAAAGUUUGAUGUGUAUUAUCUUUGUUCAUAUGAGUUGCUUAGAUUAAUAGAUAAGUUAAUUGAAUAGUGUUUUUCUAUCCAUUUUAAUCUAAGAGAUUAUUCUAAAAUGUGUUUGUGUAACUUGUCCUCAAGUUACAUGAAAAGUCACAUUUAAGUUUCUUAAAACUCAUAAAAAUUUUAAUAGGUUACAAAAAUCAAGAGUCUUGUUCUCAUUAAACGAUUUUAUGACUCCAUAACUUGUCCUCAAGUUGUGGAGGUUCAAGAGUCUCUUCAUUAAAUAAAAUAUGUGUAACCUUAGUUAAUCUCAUAAAGCUUCCAUAAUUUAUGAAUUAUGAAGAGUCACUUUCUUAAUUUGUUUAAAGUCUUCCAUAACUUGUACUCAAGUUAUGGAACUUGAAGAGUCUUUUUCAUAAAUGUUUUUAUGAACUCCAUAACUUGUCCUCAAGUUAUUGAAUGUCAAGAGUCUUUUCAUAAAACCUAUAUUAAACUCAUAAGUUAUGGAAACCAAAAGUUUUUUAAUAGUUCAAAACUUGCCCUCAAGUUUUGAAAUCUGUAAAUGAAAAGUCUCACUUUGAAACAUUUAGUUCCAAACCCUAGAAUUUUAAAAGUUUAAAAUUCAACCCUUAUACUAUUAUAAUAUUAUAGGUUUAAUAUUUAUAUAUAUUUAUAAGAGUAAAGUCAGUCUUACCGUUAGUAGGCCUCAUUCAAGAAGUNNNNNNNNNNNNNNNNNNNNNNNNNNNNNNNNNNNNNNNNNNNNNNNNNNNNNNNNNNNNNNNNNNNNNNNNNNNNNNNNNNNNNNNNNNNNNNNNNNNNNNNNNNNNNNNNNNNNNNNNNNNNNNNNNNNNNNNNNNNNNNNNNNNNNNNNNNNNNNNNNNNNNNNNNNNNNNNNNNNNNNNNNNNNNNNNNNNNNNNNNNNNNGGCACACUAACUCGUAUUUAACAAGGUAGGCAAAGGGUAACUUAAUGUUUAUCAUAGUAUCGAUGGAGUGUGUGUGGUUAACCGGCACAUCGAUUGAGGGGUAAACACUUAAGGGUACCAAGUAAUUUACAUGGUUACUUCACACCUUGUUUUGUGAUCCUCGGCAUCCCAGUCACAAAACCUGAAGGGCACACUUCAGAUUGAAACAUGUCAUUGAAAAGUUCAAUGAAUCUCAAAUAUCUAGGAGUUUCAAAUCCAAUUAAAAACCUAAUAAUUUAUUUAGUUUUUCAUGGUGGAAAUUGGUGAAUCGUCAUUCACCUACCUUCAAAUAUUCUAUAGCUUGGAUUACGACAUCUCUCUUCCAAGUUAUAAGAUAUUGUGUUGGGUCCUAGCCUUAAUAUUUCAUAUUGGGUGUUAUAUUAAGGACUUUAAAUCAUCUAUAUUGAAUAUCUCCCAAAAAGAGGUAUGGUUCAGACAUCUAUGAUCUUCCCAAAUCUCUUGGAACUUCUCUUCCUCCACCACCUCCAAUUAUUCUCCCUAACCCACAAGUUCAAGGUCACUCAAGCCCUAUUGGCAAGGCAAGGUCUAGGUGUGAUCACAUCUUGGAGAUGAAGUCACAUAUUGACAAGACGGAAGAGUUGGGUGUCAAAGUCUUGAGAAAGUUAGUGGUUCAAUCACUUUCUAAGUCGCAUAGUGAGUUCCUUUGGGACUCCUAUGAAACAGACUAUGACAAGACCCUUAAUGAUUGUAUCUAUUUGCUUGGCGUUGCUGAAUCAGCAAUGAUUUGGAAGGCUAGUAAAGCAAAUUUGAUUAGAAGAUCGACUUCCCAAAACUUUAUGGACAUUAAAAAUGGUGACACUGGAAAUCCAGAAAAAGCAUUCUUUUCCCAAUGGAAAGGGAUCGGCCAUAGUCAACUCGGUUGACCAAAUGGUACAGAGAAAGGCUAAGUCUGAGAUUAUCCCAUGUACCAUUCCCAAAGGAUCCAUAUGGUUCUAUUACCAAAAAGGAAAGGGAAUUGGUUGUGAAGCUGCCAAAUUUACCUGAAAGAUCAUAAGGCUGGUAAAGUCAAUAAGUUUGACUUUACUUCAGGUAAAUUCCACUAUCUAACUCGAUUAAGUUUCUAUUCUGAGAUUCUUAUUACAUGAUGUGACUGGGUCACAUGUUGAUGUUUUAAGAAUCAAAGGAAAAUUGAACGAAACUUAAAGAUAGAGUAUGUUGAAUCUGAUCGCGAAGAUAGAUUUCUAUCGUUUGAUUGAAGAUCGGAUUCUUGAGCUACUCUUAGGAGUUAUGAUAGAUUACUAGGAACCAUUUAAUAACAUUGUUUUCAUUUAAAGUUGCAUUGUAAAGGAAAAGUUUUUCCGCAUUUUAAAAUAAAUAAAAGUUUGUUUUACUUUAUUUUUAUCUCCUUACAAUGGCAUUCAUGAAAACUUGAUGUUUGUAUGUUUAUAGCAAUAUUGGAAAUAUGAAUUUGAUUCUUUCAUUUAUGGUAGUGUCAAUUUACCAAAUAAGGAAAGAUUCUCAUCACCCAAGUUUCAAUUGGACCGAAAGUUGGAAUCAUACAAGGCGUUUAGUGUGAUGUAUGAGAAUUUUCAACGUUGGAAAAUUAAGACUAGUUCUGUGUUCACAUGUAUAUGUGACUUAAGAGAAGGACUAAGGGAUCAAGUACACAUUCUUGUACACUAGCCAAAGUUCACCACAAAAAAAUGGAUAAGACUAUUCGUUAUGAUUUACUAAGGUUUAGUAAAUAUGAUUAUACUUACAAGAUUAAGUAUAAUUCUGAACCAUUUGAAAAGUUUCAAUGUAUGACAGAACGAAUAAGAAGAAUCAAAUUAGGCAGAAGGAUAAAAGUUUCUCAAAUCUGAAAAGAUGGGAGAGUACUUUAGUAUCAUGUUUUAAGACCAUCUUAAUGAUUUUGAGACCUUAUCAUAAUUCAUCCUCUAAGCGCAUUCUGAUAGUUAAGAAGAGGAGUUAUGAAUUGUUGAAGUGGUUAAAUCAAGAAGAUGAUUCAUACUUCGUUCCAAAAAAAACAAUUCUUAGAGUUAUACUCUAAGAUUGUAACUUGAGUGACAUGUCUUAAAGAAGGUUUAAAACACUUGUCAAAUGUAAGAGUAAAAGUUUUCUACUCUUGUACAUUUGAAAUUGGUAAGUUGUGAUGUUUUGGAUAAAACAAAGACCAAUUAAAGCUAAUUGUGUUAAGUGUUUGUCUUGAUAAAGAAUCUGCACUAUCUCUUGAAUAUUUGGCAAGAUAGUCUUAUAUGUCAAGAGGACAAUGGAAGUCUAAAAGAUCCUGAAAGGGUUUCAAGAGGUAAUCAAGAAUAAAACCUCUAUUUCAUCACUAGCACACAAUUAGAGGUUUAUAACCUAUCGUGUUGACAUUUCUGUGCCCAUUCCAGAUAUGUUGGCUAUACAUUCGAGUUCUACAUGUUCUCAAUUGUUUGCAUAGCUACUUGGAAGCACUGGCAGGCCCUUGAGCUGCCAGGUAGCAAGAAGGCAAGAUUGCACAAGUUCAAUCCAUAUGAGUUAAGUGAUCAAAAUGAACUAAUUAAAUAUGGACUCUUAUAUAUAUAUAUAUANUGGAUAGUCCAUGGAGUGUUUAACCCAUGGAUCAUAUGAAAUGAAAGGUCAUGGGUUUAACCCUAGUCUCCAUACUAUAUAAAGAUGUCCUUGGUUGGUGAAAUUGGCACUAGUGUGGGUACACUAAGAGGGCUAGCUGAUUUCACUAGAGAGAACCAAAACUAUUCUUAUUCUCAAAGUCUUCCAAGGUGUUUGGGUGAUUUUUGAUUCCACUUGAGGCUUCCACACUAUUGGGGCUAAGCUCUUAAAGCUUGAAGACAUCAAGCUACAUCAAAAGGUAUGUCAUCUAACUAGUACUUUGUAGAAUAAGAGCUUCAUAAUAUGCUAGUUAGGAUUAAAGCCUUGGAAAGUUCUUGUUUGCAUGUAUAAUAGAGAAAACAUAGAUCCAAGGUUUAUAGGGUUGCAUGUACACCAUAGGAGUGUUAGAAUGCUUAAAACCCAACAGAGUUAAGUCGUUUUAAGGGUAGUUCUUUUAGAUUUUAGUUUUUAUUGGUCUCCUUGAGCAUAAUGGUGCAAUUUUUAUGAGAUUUUUGGUUUCAUGCAUGCAUUAAGUCACUUAUUAAGUCCCUUUUAAGCUUAAGAACUUCAUUUAGCCAUGCAUGAACGUAAAGUGAGCAACUUUAUUUGAUAUUCCAGCUCAAGGAAGUCAAAUCUAUUUUUUAGGGCUAUGUCUUAAAGGAUUAAGGACUAAAAUCGAGUUUUCGUUGAAUAGGUAAGUAGGAUGGGCGUACAAGCAGGUACGAUUAACAUACAAGCCCUCAAGCGAGUACAUUGUGUGUACGUGAUGGGUACGCCCCGCGUACUCAGUCAAGUGGACUUCACAUGUUUGGGCUUCAGAAUUUGGCUUUUCUCUGGUCUUAGUGGCUUGGGGCCUUGUUAGGCCACCUGAAUAUAAGAGUUUGGAGUAGGGAAAAAAUAUUGGGCCUUAGGGUAAGGCCAAUGUAGGGAUUUGGGCCCAAUUUGGAAAAUUAGGCCAUAUGUGGGCCUUGGAUGGUUAAUUGGUUUUUCAGCUUUUUAGAUUGAAAGUUUGGGCCUCAGUCUUGGACCAAACUAGGUAAGGGGUAAAAUGGUCUUUUUACCCUAGGUAUGGAUUGAAGGAUAUAGAUUGGACUCCAAUUGUUAAUUGGGUGUUAUUUGUUAUUGAUAACUCGUGGAUUAAUCGGACCAGUAGCCAAGGAUUAUCAGUGUGAUUCAGCAGUGCGAGGUGAGUUUCCUCACCAUGUUUAGCGGGUCAAAGGCACUAAUGCCGACCCAUGAUUUGUUAUGUUAGAUUACGUGUUGUCUGUGUAACAUUAGUAUUCGUGUGUGUGCUUGUAUGCUUGUUGGGUGGGGCCUGAUGAUUGUUCUGCAUGCUAUUACUUGUUAUGUAGUAUGAACUGUAUAUGGGCGGGGCCCAUUAUGCAAGUUAGGGCGGGGCCCGUUAUACCUAUUGGGUGGGUCCUGUUAUACGAGUUAGGGUAGGGCCUGUUAUACUCAUUAGGCGGGGCCCAGUAUGCGAGUUAGGGCAGGGCCCGUUAUACUCUUUGGGCACAACCCCUUAUAUGUUAUAUGUUUGGUAUGCGGUAUCUUGGGGAACUCACUAAGUUUUGCGCUUGCGGUUUUCAGUUUAUGUUUCAAGUAAUUCAAGUCCCAAGGGGAAGGGCUCAGGAUGAUUCCAGAGCACACACCACCUCGUUCCGCUUUUUGUUUUAACUCUGAUUGUUAUGGUGUUUGACUUGGUAGUUUUGUUUGGCUUGUAUCGAUGAUGUUUUGGAACUACUGGUUUUUAUUUAAUAAAAGUGAAAUUUACGGAUCUUAUUUUUGGGAAGUUACAUAAAUGUAAUUUAAUAAAAAUGUAAUUUUUAAAAAUGAAUAAAAGGAAAAUACUUCAUUACUUUAAUUAAAACGAUUACAAUGAAAAAACGAUAAUUCAAAUAAAACGAUUACAUAUCUUGACGAUUAAAAUAAAACGACUAAUUAUAAUAUUUUUUUCUUAAUUUCCGCUCUAGCCUUCAAAACCAUAUCGAGCUUGUUGUUGGUGAGAUGAUCGAAUGGUUUUGUUAUAAAUUCUAAAUCAUGUGCUCUUCGUUUCUCCUCACGAGUUCUUUGUUUUGUCUCUCGCGCUUUUUUUCUCCUUCCACUUUUUUUUCUCAAAAUUUAAACGAGUUUCGAAAUUCAAAUUAUAAAUUUUGAAACUAGGAGCGAUCUUGAAAUGUUAGCUCCUCUUCCGACACCCGAUGUAUUCAGAAGACCCUUUCUUUUUCUCUAUAUCUUGCCCCAUUGGUUGAACUACCUCUUCUAUUUUGAGCUUAUCCACGUCUUUCAAAUCAAUCCCAAAAUUCGCAUAUGAUAAAGUAGUGUAACUAGUCUCCGGAACUUUUUGUACUUUUCUCAACACCUUCUUCUUCUUCCAUGUACUCUUUUGCCCAUUUUGGUGAUGCGGAUAAAAAUCUCCAAAGAUCAAUAAAUUUGAAAGACUUCUUAGUGUCAAAAAAAAAUAUUUUAAGCAUUGUCUCGAAAAUUUCUUGAUCACUUUCCAUGCUUUUCCGUUGUUUAAGCAAGUUGUUGUAAAUGUCGUGGAAUUUGGUAACCGAUUUCUUCAUCUCUCGAAACUUGCUAUUGCAUUGGUGUUUUGUAUGGUAAAGCCCACAACCCAUGACACUAAGAAAUCGCUCCAUAAUGUGUUGUCAAAAAUGCUCAUCUUUUUGCGUACUUCCGGUUUGUGAAUCCUUAGGAAUGUCGACCCAUGAUUCGUCUAACUUCAUCUCUUCAUCUAGUUGCUAUAGUUAAACCACUGCCUUCUUUUUUCUUAGAACCGAUGCUUUUUUUCCUACAUCGUUCGACGUUGGAUGGUUCGGCUUGUGCUUCGCAAACAACGUCGGGUUGGGUUUCAGUAACCUGUUCGGGAUCGGGUUGUGUUUCUAAGCUAAGAGGUUCCAUCAGGGUAGUGUUGGUAGUAAACUUGUUAGAGAUGAGGUUGGGAUCGGGGAGAAUAAUAGAUGAAUCAAGUUGAGGUCGGUAAACCGACAUAUCCAACUAUUGAAGAUUUGGACGCAAUUUGCUCUGAGCGGUAAAUUGAGGAUUAUUUGGAAUCAUUUUUUUAAAUAAAAAAAAGAUUUAAAAAAGUUAUAAAAUUGAGAGUGUUGUAUGUGAUAUAUGUGUGAGGUAUGGGUCGUAUUUAUAGUUGAAUUAUUAAGAAAAAAACAAAAUGUAAGCGUUUGCUAGCAGUCACACGAUUCAACGGUCUAAAUUGCAUGCAGUGAAGUCAAUAGUUGCAGUGAGCUUACCACAAAAACAAACUGGGGGUCGUUGUUGUGUGCACCACCACAAUGCUACCUUAACCACUACAAUGUGCGGUUAGGGCCAAGGAGCCUAACUAAAUCAAAUAUAAUUAGUUUUAAGGCAUACACCUAUAGGCAAUGUUGUAAAACUCGCCGAGUUGGCCGAUUACUCCUCCAAGUACUCGCUACUCUCCCUUUGUCGAGGCGAGCUACAUAAUCCCGAGUACUCCCCGAUCGGCCCCUUACUGAACUGAGUAAUGUUGUGAAAUUCGGUCAACUCGGUGAUUAAUAUAUAUAAUAUACUUAAUGAUUUAUUAUUUAACAUACACACAUAUGCGAUUUUUGCUACAUAUAUAUAUCGUAAAUUUUUAGUAAUUAUUCACGAAGUGAGACCAUUAUGUGUUUUUCAUUUUUUGUGUAUUCACAUGUAUCCAAUUUUGUUAUAUAUUUCAAUCAACUUAUGAUUUUAUCUUAUGAUUUUGACAUAUAUAAUUUCCCUACAAAUAUUUCUACACAAAUUUCCAAAUCCGAGUACUCCCCGAGUGCUCCCAAGUACUCGCUAUGCGGUAGUCAGCUGAACAGGUACCGAGUAUCGAGUUCUACAACCUUACCUAUAGGUAUGACAAAUUAUAUUUAAUUAUCAAAGCGUAUUUACCCCCGAGUUUUUUUCGUCCAUAUGUAACCCUUCAACUAGUUAAACUAUACACAUGCAAUCCUUAUGACCGGUUAUUCUAUGUAAGCUGGAAAAAAAUAUCUUAAUAACGUAAUAUAUUUAUCACUUUGUACACAUUUAGUCCUAAAUAUUUUUUGCAUAUUUAGUCCUUAAUUUUUUUUUGUUUUUUGUUGCAAAAUAAGUUCUUGUUGUUAUUGUACACAUACAUUAGUUUUGACUGAUUCAUUUAGGUUUUUUGUAGGACAUCCAACAUGGGACAAUCAUGAAUAAGAUGUUCAGAGUUGUUGAUGGUUAUGGCCACUGCAGCCUCAACUGCUUGGUUGCUUAGGUCUUAUGGUUUGGGUUAGGUAUUGUGUUCUAAACGUCAUAACUUAUUCAUAUGAUAUCGGAUUUUAACGAUCUUUACAUCCAAGCGUUUGUAUUUAAGUUUACUUCAAUUGUCAUUUAAAUUAAUCUCAUUAAAAAGUAAUAUAUUUUUACUUACAAUUUUAAGAAAAAAAAACAUUCAUGCAUACAUUCAUAAAGAAUGCAUGAAGAUAAAGAUCGUAACUAAAACUAUAUUACUUUUUAACGGGAGUAAUUUAAACGAAAUUAUAGUAGACUUAAAUUCAAACACACAUAUAUAAAGAUCGUUAAAAUGCGACAUCAUACGAAAAAGUUAUGAAGUUCAGAAAAUAAGACCUAAGUCAAAUCAUAAGACUUAAGCAACCAAGCAGCCGACGCUGUGGUGGCCAUACGCAUCAAGAACUUCGACCACCUUGUUAAUUAUUGUUUCUCGUAGGAUAUCGUGGGAAAACCAAAAGAAACCAGUUAUAAAUACAGAAUAUGUAUAAAGACAACAAAGACAUAUUUUGCCACAAAAAUAUUAAUGACUAAAUAUACACAAAAUAUUAAAGACUAAAUGUGUAUAAAAUGAAAAACAUAUUUACCUUGUUAAGUUAUUUUUUCGAUUUACCUGAAAUAAUUAGUCAUAAGAACUAGUUAUGUACUUAACAAGUUGAAAAUAUAAUAUGGAUGAAAAAAACGUAAUAAUCAAAUAUGUAGAAAUCAAAAAUAUAAUAUUCUUUUAAAUAAUUCUAAAUGACAUGAAAUGAAAGUGAAAACAAAAUUUAGAUCCAUAUUUAUAAAAAAAACAUAUUAUAUUGAUUUAUCUCUCCCCACUCACAUCUUCUCAAUCGAGUAUUAUAUUAAAAAAGUAUAAUUAGUAUGUACAUUGGACAGACAAAAUAGAAAGUGAUGUAACUAGGGGUUUUAAUUUCUUUACAUUAUUGGAGUGUGUUGAUCCAGGGAUUAUAUUCAAUUAUUUCAGUUUUCCUUUUAAAAGUAUUAUGUUACAUUAUGUUUAUUAAAAAUGUUAUUUCUUUUCUUUUAUAUAUAUAUAUAUAUAUAUAUAUAUAUAUAUAUAUAUAUAUAUAUAUAUAUAUNNNNNNNNNNNNNNNNNNNNNNNNNNNNNNNNNNNNNNNNNNNNNNNNNNNNNNNNNNNNNNNNNNNNNNNNNNNNNNNNNNNNNNNNNNNNNNNNAUAAAAAUUACAUUAAAUUAUUGAAUUAAAUAAAAUAUGUGGAUAAACAAUUUUUUCCCCUUAAAUAAUUUCUUUUACCUAUUAAUUUACUAUUUUUAUGAUGUAUAAUAUGAUGUUAUCUAGUCUAAAUAUCCAUCAAAUAUAAAGAGAAAAGCACAUCAUCUUUAAUAUAAUCUUCUAAGUGUUGAAGAAUUCUUUCAAAUUUCCUUUUAUUUUAUAAUGUUUUAGUUUAAUUUUGUUAGUUUAAGUUUUAAUUAUGUCGAAUUUAUAACAUUUUAUCGGCACGAAAUCACUAAUCAAGUCGAAAUCACAUCUGUCAUACUCAAUGUAUGUAUUACUUAAUAAUAAUAAUAAUAAUAAUAAAGUAUUUCUUAUAAAACAAUCAUUUAAAACAAAUAAUGAAUUAUGAAAAAUUAUUCGUUAUUAACGACUAAUAAUAUUUAUUUAUUUUUUGCUAAACCAUUAUUUAUUUAUGUAUUCUAAUUUUUAUUUAUGGAUUUAUAUUAUGCAAUUAAUUUUUAUUUAUGUAUAAUAACAUUUAAAUUAUGCAACUAAUUUUUAUGUAUACUAACGUUUGUUAUACAUAUCCAUAUUUAUAUUUUAGAUAUUCUUCAUAAAUUUAUUUAAACAUUUACUAAUAUUUAUUUAUGUUUCUAAUUAGUAAAAUUACACCAACUAAAAUAUAUGUACCAAUUAAAAGUCUUAUUAAAUGAUUUAAUAUAUAUANACCUUACCACUAACCGCAAAUACGGUUAAUCCAUUUUCAAAACCGCUUGGUGCGAUUAUUUUUGCGGUGUGGUUAGGCAGUUAUUUUUGCGGUGCGGUUUAUUUUUUUUAUGUUGCGGUUAUUAACCACAUGGAUUUGGUGCGAUAAUUUUGUGUAGUUUUUAACCAUAGUUUAAAGCUUAAACGGUUUUAAGAGUUCAAACAUAUUACUUUUAAUGAUAAAAAAAUCAUCAGGUACAGGACAAUUAACUUAAAUCACAAACAAUUAAUAUUUUAAAAACGUCAAAUCAAUAGUAAUUAACAAUAUAUAUCUUAAAAUUGUUUAAUUUCACCAUUUUUUCAAAGUUAAACAUAACAAAAAACCAACACUUUUGUCUUCUAGUAUUUUAUCUAUCUUUCAUCCAUGAAACUUGUCUUAUUUUUAAUAUUUAAUAUGGUAACAAUUAAUAAAAAAAAUUGUAUGUAAUAUAUGCGGUGCGGUGCGGUUUUUGAACACUAAUAACCACACUGCACCGCAAAUUCGCGGUUUUUGAAAAACAGAAAGCCUCACCAUCGGUUUUUAUUGCGGUUGCAGUUUAUCGGUUGCGGUUUAUACGGUUUUGCGGUUAAUUUUAGUUGCGGUGUGGUUUUUUCUCACCCCUAAAUUAAACGGCAAAAACAACGACUAUUUUUCUACUAUAAAUAACAUUACUAUCGUAUUUUUUUUACCACAAAAGGAGUAAAUUCUUUCACUUUUCAAGAUUAUAAAGAUCAAAACGAUUCACCCAGUUGUGAUUCUCACAACUAUAAUGAUCAUAACACUUAGCUUCUUAUUUUUCAAUCUCACAUCAAAUGUAUUUCAUCCUAAUCUAUUUUAUCCUUACUUAGUCUUGUAUGAGAUGAUUUUUCUCCCGCUUAUGUUUUGUGCAAUACAUAUUAAAAUAAAUGGAUUUUAAUUUUCAUCUUGUUAUUUUGUUUAAAUUUAUAGUUACAAUAUGUUCAACAUUUCAAAGUUCGAGUUUGCAGCACUUGAAAUUAGUGGGAAAAACUAUGUGUCAUGGAUGAUAAUUGUAAAAAUGCAUCUUGAGUCCAUAGGAAUCUCAAAUGUUAUAUAUGAAUUCAAUAAUUGUUUGACACAAGACAAGGCCAAAGCACAAGUUUUCCUUCGUAAGCAUAUUGAUGAAAUGUUGAGAUUUGAAUAUCUUGAUAUUACUGAUCUAAGUAUUCUCUGGAAUCUCUUGAAAGAAAGAUUUAAUCAUCUAAAGGAAGUUAUGCUUCCAAAAUGCUAGAGAUGAAUGGAGAACACUAAGGUUUCAAGACUUCUAUAAAGUAAAUGAAUACAACUCAGUUUUGUUCAAUAUAUGUUCACAACUCAAGUAUUAAGGACAAAAAGUUACUGAUGAAGAUAUGUUGGAGAAAACUUACUCCACGUUUCAUGCAACAAACAUUACCUUGAUGCAACAAUAUUGGUUACAAAAGUUCACAAAAUAUUCUGAAGUAAAUGCAUAUAUGCUUGUUGCAAAGCAAAACAAUGAGCUCUUGAUGAAAAACCAUGAAUCUCGUCCAACGAGAUCAAUAACACUUCCUAAAGCAAAUGCUACAAAUAUUGAUGGUCAUCGAAACAAUACACAUGGACGAGGUCGUGGUUGUGGUCGAGGACGAGGUCGUGGCUAUUUUAAUCGAAACCAAAGCCAUAAUCAUAACAUAAUUAUUGUCGUAAAUAAGAUAAUAAUCAUGAUCAUAGCCAAAAAAGGAAUAAUUACCAAUCUUCACAAAGAAACAAUGUUCAUACACAAGACAGGGCCAAAGUGGCAAGGCAUGAUGCUGGGACAUCACAAAAAUAUGAUGGUUCGUAUUAUAGAUGUGGUAGCACAUGCCAUUGGCCAACGACCUGUCGCACACCUGCAUAUCUUUGUCAACUUUAUCAAGAGUGCAUAAAAGGAAAACGAAAAGAAGCAAACCUCAUUGAUAAUGUUGAAUGCACUCCGCUAACUAUUGCUGAUUUUUGCAAUGACAUUGAAGACAUAAACUAAAAAUUUCUAUUAUUGUUCUAGUAAACCUGUUUUUCCUACCUUUGUUUUUCAUGUAAUGUCUUUCCUACAAUAAAUGAACUUUCUUUAUAAUAAUUAUUUCAUAUGUAAAGUUUAUGAUGAUUCCAACUGGAGCACAACACCAAGAGAAUGUUGGAGAUUUUUGUAUAGUAGAUAGUGGUAGUACCUAUACUAUUAUGAAAUCAAAGAAAUAUUUUUCAAAAUUAGUACCAACAAAAACAAUCAUACAUACAAUAUCAGGUCCUGCAGACUUAUUAGAAGAAGCAUAAAAAUAGGAUCUUGGUGGUAGUCUUGACCUUGAGCAUGAGUUAAAGACCUUGGGAGGGUCUUGAUGAUGGUUUUAGAGGUAUAAGGAACAUGCAAAGACAUAAAGUUAGCAACUUUAUGCCUUAGGACAUGUUAAAGAACUCAGAUCUAGCUUUUGGACGUAAAAGAAUGGGAUAUUAAGCACUUAAUGGGGAAAGUGCUUAACUCGGGCGAACGUCGGGCGUACUCAGUGUACGCUACGCGUAGCCUUUGAGAGCCCAGUACGCAACGCGUACCAAAGAGGUACGCUGAGCGUACGCAAGGCAGAUCGGGCCAUUUCUGUUUUGGGGCUGGCGACUUUUGGGCCUCAUCUUGGUUAUUGGGCCGACUGCAUUCUGUGAAAUAUGGGCUAUAUCUUUGGAUUUGGGUCAUGGACUUCUGGCAGGGCCUUAUUGGGCCAAGAGGCCCAUUAGUAAUUUUGGACUUGGACUUUGGGCCCAUUAUCAAAGGAAGAUUGGGCCGCAUGAAUAGGGUUGGGGCUUGGGUCUUUCCCUCCUAAUUAAUUUAAGGAUCUAUUAUUAUUUAAUACUAUUAUCCAGCCCGCGAGAUUCCAGAUUAUUAGGAAAGCAGCUUUGGUUUACAGCAAAUGGAGGUGAGUCUCCUCACCAUACCCAUGGGUCUAAGGCACCAAGGGAGACCCAUUAUAUGAGAUGUGAUAUGUGUUAGCUAUUAUGUGAAACUAUGUGCUUUGUGAUUAUGUUGGUAUGGAAGGCCUCGGGGGGUUCCUGGGGCACUUAGGUAUAAGACCUGGGAGGGUUUCUAUGGCAUCCUAGGUCGAAGACCUUGGGGGGUUCCCGAGGCAUUGGGCUAAGACCAUGAGGGGGUUCCUAUGACACCCGGAGUAAGACCCUGGAGGGUUUCCAGGGCUUCCCUAUGUGUUGGCUUGCAUGGUUUAUAUGAUUGUAUAGCUGAUUAGCAUGUAUGAUAUACUUUGUGCUUAUGUGUGGGUGUGCCCUGGGGAACUCACUAAGCUUUCAAGCUUACCGUUUGUGGAUGUGUUUCAGGUACAUCCGAGCCCAAGGGCAAGGGCAAGGCGUGAUGGCGCGACGUGCACUCUAUCUCUCUUUUAUUACUACCUUUUGGGACACUCUGAUGUUUUAAAAAAAUUGUAAUAAAGGUGGAUUUGAAAACAAUUGUGACGAAAUUUAUGGUUAAUGCAAGUAUGUUUAUUAAUUAAAAAUGAAAAAAAAAUAUCGUCGAAAAUUUGGGUUGUUACAAGUUGGUAUCAGAGCCUUGGUUUGAGGGAUUCGGGCACACUCUCGGGUGUGUCGGGACUCAAACUAAGGAAAUUGUAAAAAUUGUUUUCAAAAGAUAAAAAAAUAAAAGUUUAUUUUAAGAAAAUAAAAGAUCAGAGUGCAACGCGCGUGAUCAGUCGGGCCAAGUAAGUGAUUCCCUUGUACGAUAGCCAUGUUACGCUAUUUUUAGAACUAUGUAAAUAUGUGGAACUUGUUAUGUGUAUGCUUUUAAAUUUGUAUACGACUAGGAGCUUAUAGACUCAUAAUGAUUGAUUUGGCAUUAAUUUCUUUUCCUUUUUUGGAUGUGGUCUUAGGGUAGAAUCUUUAUUCGAAAGUCUAUUUGAUCCUUUUUGUGUAUAAUUUGCAUGCAUAAAGGCAACCUGUUAUGAUGGAUUGGUAUGAGUAGAACAACUGCUAGGACAGUCUAGGGCUUGAUUGUUUUUUUUUGCAUGAGGUGUGAGGGACGGGUUCGAGUUGGAGUUAGCAGGUGGAACAUCGGGGGAAAGGUACGGGUAGGUGUGGAAGGUAGUAUUGGGCCCGUACUAUUGGAAGCACAGGACCUGUACCCAAACUCAUGUUGUACCUGAGAACUCUAAGGAGGAGAACCGGUUUGGAGGAUUCUUGUUAUAGGCAUCCUGAUCAUUAUGUUUUAUGGCUUUUCGGUUCAGCAUGGCGGUGACUCGAUUUGGAGCAAGGGGAUCAGGAUCGGGAUCUGGAUCCGGGGGGGGGGAUCAGGAGACACUACGGAUGCUAUGGAUGAGAGGCUACAAGAGCUUAUUGCAGCCGAGGUUAGCAAGGGUAUACUUGACGCAACACCGAUCAUCUUCGGGACGGUCAAGGAGGGUAUCAUGGAUCUUAUGGAGGAGAUACUCAGAUCAUUUUGGGCUAAGGUUGCAGCGGGCCAGGUUGGGGCUCGAACUCCCUCAUUUCGAGAGUUCAAGGCGUAUGGAGCGCCGGAGUUUCUCGGGGCCAAGGACCCCAUUGUCAGUCGGCGCUGGAUAGCGGAUAUUGAGAAUGCCCAACGUACGAGCUCUUGCCCGGAUGCAGCAAAGGUGGGUUUUGCUUCAUGUAUGUUGGGGAUAGGGCCCGGGAUUGGUGGGGCGAGGUUACUAGCCAAUUGGGGCCUGCCGGAGUGGCCAAGAUGACAUGGGCCGAGUUCGUACGAUGUUUUGAUCAGGAGUUUGCACCACCUGUUGAGGUGCAGAGGCUAGUACGGGAGUUCCACGAUUUGCAGCAGACCACUGAGAUGGUGGCGGAGAUCACCGCCAAGUUUCGGGAGCGAGCUCUACUGAUACCACUGUAUGCUACCGACGAGGAUAUGAGGCGGACCCGGUAUCAUUCCACGCUGAGAUGACAUUCGGGAGUUUGUGAGUUUCAUGGGAUACAAGACCCUAAAUGAGAUGGUGGAUAAGGCUAGCGAGGGGGAGAUGGAGUUGGACUUUCACACAAAGCAGAAGUCGGAGCAGGCCCAGGCAGCAGUAGGACAGGCAAAAAAGCCUAAGUCCUUGGAUUUGUCUAGUCGGGGCCAGCAGGGUCGGGGCCGGUGUGCCAAAUAUGGGAGGUUACAUGGAGGGACAUGUAGGGGACAAGACACGACAUGUUAUACCUGUGGUCAGCUUGGCCACGUGAGCAACGAUUGCCCCAGGAAGGGCCUGAUAUGUUUCCACUGCAAUCAGACCGGCCACAAGCGGGCCGUUUGCCCUAGGUUGCAGGGAGGAGGAGGAGGAGCGGUAGUGGCACCUGCACCUGCUACUUUGAGAAUCACCGAUGGCCGAUCUGCCAAGGCGGACCCCCCAGCAGCUAAGAGCCAUGCUUUUCAGCUGACUAUCGACGAGGCUUGGGCAACACCAGAUGUGGUGACUGGUACGUGUUUAUUUUCUCUCUCUGCAUGUUCAUUUUGUUAUGCUUAUUUUUUUGUUGUUUAUUAUGGUGAUAUAGGGACCUUUUUGGUCAAUGGUAUGUCGGUCCACGUUUUGUUCGACUCGGGAGCUACCCGAUCAUUUUUUGUCUCUUGCGCUUAGCAAGAAAUUCCGGGAUACACCGGGGACUUUGGAUUCCUCGCUUGAGGUGGAAAUUGCAGACGACCGCACCGUGAGUGCUGCGAGGGUGUAUCGAGACUGUGUUCUGAAUAUGCAUGGCGAGAGGUUCCGCGUCAAUUUAGUCCCAAUACCGUUGCGAGGAUCGAAGGUGGUUAUUGGCAUGGAUUGGUUGGGAGCUCACAGGGCCAUGAUAGAUUGCGAGUGCCAGUUAAUCAGUGUUUGUCACACCCCAAAACCACGAACGGCGGAAACGUUCAGGGGUGGAGGACGUCAUGUACAGUAUCACAACAGUGUAAUAUAAUAAACAAGCAACAACAUCAUCCAUUGCAUUAUAAGUAGAUUUUGAAUACAUGUGUGUUCUUUCAUUGUAAUAAGACACCAAAAAUAUACAAUCAAAAUAAAAGACGAGACUUGUCUACUCCGUCUUCUCAAAACCUGGCCACCGUACCUGUCUACUGAUGACCUGAGAGUACAAGUUAUUUUGAAAGAGAGUAUCAGCUUUAAAGCUGGUGAAUUCAUAAGUAUUUAAGUGUCAUUGUCUUGCUUUGAAAAGCUAUUUUAAAAGUCAUGCAAACCUUUAAAUGAAAAUGUUGAUAUAAGUAUGAAAAGCCCUAGAAAAUCCCUUAUUUUCUAUCAGUUUGAGAUGUAGUCUUCUACCAAGACCCGAAUGUUUUGUAAGUAAAAUGAUAGUUUUUCCUUCAAUUGAUUAGUACUAAAGUACUUAGUCUAACUCAUCGUUUAUGUGAAAGUAUCACAAAAUAAAGUAAACAGGAAAAUGUACUACUGUAAGUGUUGUCACUGGGUACUAGGACUAACACAACAUCGCAUUAAGCGAAAUAUGUAACCUAAUGAACAUCCGAAGAUUGUCCAGAAAAAGUAAUAAUGUAAGUGUCAUCGCUGGGUACUAGGAGUAACACAACAUCGCAAUAAGCGAAAAGUAUAACCUUAUGAACAAUCGAAGAUUGUCCACUUGUCCUCUGUAGCAGCAGCAGGUGGGUGGAGGGGUUAGCCCCGGUUAUCGAUCUACCUAGUAUAAGUAGUAACCUUAGACCUCCGUAGAUGGUCAUCGACCACUGGUGCUAAUCAGUGGGGUUCGGAAUGGUAAGUCCCGCCGAGAUAUCCCAUUGAACCGGGAUAGGAAAUAUAAUUUACACAGAAAGUACUAAUAAAUCAUCCUCGUAGUUCUAAGUACAAGUAUCCAGGUAAGUGAAUACAGCAUAAUGCACCUAUGUAAAAGUGUUCAUGUGUGGUAUUCAUGUAAGUGUGUUCAUGUAUCAGGUAAGCAUAUGUAUAUGUACUCAUGUAUCAGGUAAUGUACUAGUAUAGACUCAUGAAUGAUCUGACUCUUGUGUGAUUCCUUGUAACAGGAAUAAUGUUUGAUAUCUUCAAAUUAUCCCUAUGAUAAUUUACUGAAAUGUAAUUGGUUGAUCAAGUAGGUUUAUACACUCUUACUACUCAAGGGUGUGGGAAACUAAAUGAAGGAUGUAAACUAUAACAUCAAUACAUAUAUAAGAAUAUAAGUGUAUAUGCAUAGUUUAGUUUAAGAAUGAAAAAUGGUUUUGUAAGACAUCCAAGGGUUUUGAACAACAUAAAAGUGACUUGAUGUCCUUUUGAUAAACAGUUCAAAAGUAAUACAUUUGAUAACAAAGUAUUUUAAAGAUAGAAAACCAUUUCAUGCAUCACAUUUUGUAGUAUGUGAAAUCCAUUGAAUGAAAACACAGUUAUAAAAUACAUAUAGAUGAUUUAAUAACAUGUUGUUUUCUACUUGUACCCCCCCCCCCAUUAAAGCAUUUAAAAUCAUUUAAAACAUUGAUUAGGGGUAUGAACUCACCUGUAGAUGGUGGUUUGGGUGUAUUGACUGAUGCAGGAUGGCUAGGUGACAAGUGAGGACUUGUUCACACUCAAUGAUCCUAGUUAACAUAUAAUCACACAUAUAUGUAUUCAAUUAGACUUUAAACCACUAAUUGAUAAAUUUAAGACAUCCCAAGGCAUGUAAAACACCUUAUAUAAGUGUUACAAGCCAUAAGGAUUGCAUCUAAGUGUUACAAGACCUUGCUAUGGUGUUUGGGGUUCAAGGGUAAACUCCCUUGGAGUUUACGGUCUAAAUGACCUUUACCCUAGGAGUUUACGGUAGUAAAAUCUAGAUUUUACGGUAGUAAACUCAUAUCUUAAGGUCCAAGUGUUGUUUUGUGGUUUAGCAACCCUUUUGAAGCAAUUCUACUAAGUGGUUUGGCCUUUGGAGUGGACUAGGGCCACAAAACACCCUCUUUGAGGAGUUUACGGCCUAAUGGAAUUUUCCUUUGGGUUUACUACCAUAAACCCUUAUGGAAAAUGUUAUUGCCAAGUUUUCAAGUCCCUUACACAAUUAGGUAAGUGUAUGUGCUAGUUUCUAAGCCUAAGGAAGGAAAAUGACCAACUUAAACACCUUUUAGGGUGUUUACGGUUUUGGGAGAUCCCUAGACCGUAAAAACCUAUAAAUGCUAGUGUUUGGUGUUUUUCAAGGCUUAAACACAUCAAGGGAAGGUUUAAACAUGUUAAGGUAAGGCUUAGACAUCAAACUAGGGCUAAACAUGGGACUUAAGUCCAUUUUGGGGGACUUUAUGGUGUUUACGGCCCAAGCAUCAUCUUGGACCGUGAACACCUUGUUCCUUGUGUUCUUGGCAUGUUUUCUUGUUGCUAAUUUGUAAUACUAACUCAAUAUGACUCAAGGAGUGAAGUACUUACAAUAAGGAAGCUUGAAGUAUGCUAAAAGUCCAAGAACACUUAGUGUGUGUUCUUGGUGUUUUUAGAAAUCUAAACAAAACACAAAAGUGAAUGGAUGAAUAGAUGCACAAACACUAGAUUAAGUGUUUACUAAGAAGGAAUGGUUAAAACACUUACAAGAUUGAAGAUUUGGAAUUGUUUCUAGUUUUGAUACUUGAGAGUGUUUCUUGAGUUUACUCCUUUGGGUGUUUACUCUUUUUGAUAAAUGGGGAGUAAACUCCUUUUGACUAGACUUAAGGAGUAAACUCAUGGAUAAUCAUGAGUUUUCGGAUUUUGGUAUGAUUUUCCGACUCAAACGAAAUAGUUUGGCCAAGGGUUUCUAAGACGCGAGGUGUUUGCGGUUUUCAAAAAUAAAAACCCGAGAAGACACUUUCUUUCACCCGUUCGUAUAAAAAUAAUACUAAAAUAAUCAAACAAACUUUAUAUUUCUUAAAAAUAAGAAAUAAUUAUAUUAAUUUAUAAUACGAAGUGGUUGACUUUUAGGGUUUGACCGAAUGGAAAUUUCGGGUUGUCACAGUGUUUGAACCCCAAGUGGGGGAGAACUAAUUAUACAUGGGGAAAAGGCCUCGCGAGGACCGAUCCUCUGUUCGGCGGCACGAGCUAGGAGGUUUCUGCAGCAGGGUUAUGCAAGAUUUUUGGCUUAUGUCUCGGAUACGAGGGUGGAGACAGUGGCAGGUGUGGGAAGUAUGCCGGUGGUACAGAAGUAUCAGGACGUUUUUCCCGAAGAGUUACCAGGACUGCCUCCGGAGAGGCAAGUAGAGUUCCGCAUCGAUUUAGUGUCGGGUGCCACCCCGAUAGCCAAGGCACCAUAUCGAUUAGCGCCUCCGGAGAUGCAAGAGUUAUCUACGCAACUCCAGGAGUUGCUAGACAUAGGGUUCAUCCAUCCGAGUAGCUCUCCUUGGGGGGCAUCAAUUCUGUUUGUGAAAAAGAAGGACGGAUCGCACAGAAUGUGCAUCGAUUAUAGAGAGCUGAACAAGCUAACGGUGAAGAACCGUUACCCUUUACCUAGGAUUGAUGAUUUGUUUGACCAGCUUCAAGGUGCAUCUUGGUUCUCCAAGAUAGAUCUACGGUCGGGAUAUCACCAGAUGAGGAUUCGGGAUGAGGAUAUAUCGAAGACAACGUUUAGGACCCGAUAUGGGCAUUAUGGGUUUGUGGUGAUGCCGUUUGGGCUCACCAAUGCCCCUGCAGCGUUCAUGGAUCUCAUGAACCGGGUUUGUAGACCAAUGUUGGAUCAGUCAGUGAUCGUUUUUAUUGAUGACAUUUUGGUCUAUUCCAAGACCAAGGAGCAGCAUGCGCGACAUCUGAGGGAGGUAUUAGAGACUCUGAGGGCGGAGAAACUUUAUGCAAAGUUCUCCAAAUGUGAGUUUUGGUUGCGGGAAGUUUAGUUUUUGGGGCAUGUCAUUAAUGAAGAGGGAAUUUCGGUUGACCCAGCCAAGGUAGAGGCGGUGAUGCGGUGGGAAGUACCAAGGAAUGCAUCAGAAAUCCGUAGUUUCUGAGGCCUAUCGGGUUAUUAUUAGAGAUUUAUCCAGGACUUUUCCAAGGUUGCAGUGCCAUUGACCUGCUUAACCAAGAAAAAUGUCACUUUUCAGUGGGGUGAGGAUCAGCAGAUAGCCCUUGAGACUGUGAGGCGGAGGUUAUGUGAGGCUCCGGUCUUAGUUCUACCGGAGGGAUUGGGUGAUUUAGUGGUAUAUUGUAACGCAUCGAUCUUGGGUUUGGGGGCGGUGCUGAUGCAAAGGGGGCAUGUGAUUGCAUACGCCUCGAGGCAGUUGAAGCCUCAUGAGGCAAAUUAUCCUACGCAUGACCUGGAGUUGGGAGCAGUGGUUUUUGCUCUCAAGUUAUGGAGGCAUUAUUUGUAUGGAGUGUGGUUCUCUAUCUAUACCGAUCACAAGAGUCUGAAGUAUUUGAUGGACCGGCAGAACCUCAACAUGCGUCAGCGGAGGUGGCUAGAUGUACUAAAGGAUUAUGAUUGAAAGAUUUUAUACCAUCCAGGGAAGGCCAAUGUGGUGGCAGAUGCCUUGAGCCGCAAGGCAAUGGGAUCCCCGAUCAGGGACAUCUGUUUGAGGAUGACUGUGACUUCGCCAUUGUUGGAUAUGAUCAGGGAAGCUCAGGUCGAUGGGGUAAAGAAGGAAAAUUGGAAAAUAGAGAGAAUUUUGGUCAGCAGGACAUGAACACGUGAAGAAACAACCCUCCAUGUCAGAUAACAACCUCAUAGCCCUGAUCACAUCCUGUGUACCAUCAAAUUUCUGGGGCUUCGUAUUUUCGAAGUCCCGGUACUGGAAAGCCCUGCCGACUCCUCCUCCAACCCCUGCCGUGGUUACAGCCGAAGUGGCUGCAGUGGCAGCUGUCUCUGCUAGAGCUGCAUAUUGCUCAUCAAAUUACUCAACCAUCACGGUCUUAAUCGACCCAAACAUCUCUGGCAACUACGCUCGAAACGCUGCAGCAAUCUCAUCGUGCAGAAUCUCCCGGAUCCUUGCAUCCAACUCCUUUGUCCCUAUCUGUACCGCUGGCUCAAGUGUUACCGGCACCUCCGACCCUCCGUCUCCCGAUCCUGAUCCUGAUCCGGAUCCAGUAGUAAAACGUCUCGUCACCACCAUACUGAAAAUAUAACCAAGAUGUCAGAUAAACAACAUACACCGGGAGGCCAAUUCCCACAACCCUAGGGGUUGUGACUUCCUUGCUCCGCAUUUGGGUCCUGUGCUUCUAGUAGUACGGGCCCAUAAUACCUUCCGCACCUACCCAUAUUUGUCUCAAGUAUCGCCACAACGCCCUAAUACUAUCACCAACAUAAUAUGCGCUCAACCCUCACUCCUAGGGGAAUAUCGACUAUCUCGCCACUGGUCUCACAGCUUUCCACAACUCACACAUUCAUGAAACUUUCACCAACCCUGCAACACUAGUGUAUGCUAGCCACAUAUAACGUUGGACCCGAUAGACUUUCGAAUAUCCAAUCCUACACUAAGGUUGAAUCAGACAUUCUCAAGCUAUAAGAUCUUGAUUAUGCACAACCGUGAUGUAUACACUAAACACCUACAUAUAUGAUGUCAAUUCCAUAUACAAGAAACCCUAGGCUAGUAGGUAUCCUAUAAUCAGGCAAGUCUAUCAUGCAAUUCCUGAAGAUUCCUAGCCUAGCACUAGCAUGCUGUUCUAUCAUAUCAUGAUAUCAAAUAACUGUAUGGUAUUUUCAGGUUUACUUACAGGCUCUGACUGAUCGUACCCUCUGCAUCCUCCAUCCUUUACUUUGAAAACCAUUUUAGAUCUUAUUCUGAAAAUUUCCCUUGAUUUGAGACUGGGUUCACACGUGUGUUUCCCCCAAUUCACUCAAACCAAGGCUCUGAUACCAACUUAUAACAUCCAGAAAUUUUACGCCAAAUUUAAACUUUUCCAAGCACAAAUAAAACUAAAUAGUAUUUGAUUACAAAAUGUUUUCAAUCAUUAUUCGUCAGCGUGUCCCAAUAACCAGAUCAUAAGGAUGAGGAGCGGUAUGGUCACGCCUUCGCCUUGCCAUGAUCUCCUGAAGUACCUGAAACAUUAAACUGAAAACUGUAAGCCCAAGGGCUUAGUGAGCUACCCCCAAAAUACCAAUACCACACCAAUAAUACAAUAUCAACAACAUACAACCAACAACAUGCAUACUGGGCCAUCGGCCUGACUAGACCGCCCUGCAAGGCCUACAGUCUAUCUGAAUCGGUGCCGAGCCUUCGUUAUAACUGGACCGUCACAUGGGCCUACGGUCUCCCCGGACCGCUCAUAGGGUGUGUUGGCCUUUAGCACAAUGCAGGACCGCCUCAAUCCAAACAACAAGCAAAUAACCAUGUGCGCAUAACUAGCAUAUACUGUCAUAUACAAACAUCAACAUAUCUAUCUCACUGAUCAUCAAUCAUAGCAAUCUCUCAUAACUAGAGCAUCGACCUAGCAGGUCACUAUCAUACCAAUCCCUAUGGAUCAUAAGAGCAUAACAUACUGUCUAUCCUGAUUCCGAUCUAACAUAUCACAACCAUAGGUAGCAUAUUAUAACAAUAACAACUAAAGGGCCGACCUUGGUGCCUUAGACCCUAUUGAUAUAGUGAGGAUAACUCACCUUGCAGAUGUCGACUUGGUAGAUAAACUUCAACCCUCGGAUCACCGCUACAAACACCACCACCUAUUGCCAUAGCAUAAUCAUGCCCAUAAGUUCCCAACCUUUCAAGGUAUCCCAUAAUCCAACUAAUCAAACCCUGAUCAAAGUCAAAGUCAUUAGUCAAGGUCAACAGUCCAUGUUGACCCUAACUCGCCGAGUACCCUCGGCUACUCGCCUAGUUCCUUGAAGUACUUGCCCACUCGCCGAGUCACCGUAGUGACUCGUCGAGUUCCUUUGGUUUAUGAUCGAAACCCUAAGGCCACUCGUCGAGUUUCCUUCUUGCAACUCGAAAGUUACACACGCAUACAUAUAUUGGGGAAACCUCAACCGACUCGCCGAGUUGUUCAUCCAACUCGUCGAGUCUACAACAAUCUUCAUUGGACUUGCCGAGUCAACCUUGCGACUCGCCGAGUUCCUUCAGUCCUUAAGCCAUACAGACUCUUUAAGCCAUGCAGUGGCUCCAAAUUACAGAUCCAAGCUUCUAAGGCAUGCUGUUCAUGUAAAUUUGCAAACUUUACGUGCAUGCAUAGCUACAAAGGCUCUAAAUGUCAAAUCCAAGCCCACAAAGGGGUUUCAUACGCAAAGAGGCUUCAUACAUGACCAAAUUCGGAGCUUUAUGACUUUAGAACCCAAGAAGGGUCCAGAUCUGAAGUUACAACUUCAGAUCUAGCUCAUAUCCCACAUUAUCAUCUCAACCAAACCAUAAAAACCCUAAAUCUCAACCAAAAGAGGUCUAGAAGGAAAAUGAAGUAAAAGUGACGACUUGAUACCUCCAAAUGAUGCUAUCUGAGGUAGAUUUCUGAUUUCCCCACUUCCUUGCCCCUAGCCUUUUGCCCUCUAAGCUCUUCUUCUCAAAAGAUCUCUUCUCCAAAGCUUUAGACACACAAGAAUGAAGCACCACACGAAUUAGGGUUUUAUGAGCUCUCAAUGGACUGCAAAGAAGCCAAAGGAGGCUUAUGCUUCCUUAAAUAGGGUGUAAAACCCCGGGAUUUAGGGUUUCAUCUGCCAGCUCCUACUCGUCGAGUCCCUUCAUGGACUCGGCGAGCAGGCCACUAAAUACGCGUCCCCAACCCGCUGCUACUCGGCGAGGAGGACAACCAACUCGUCAAGUAGACCUCAAAAUCAAAGAAAUUCAUAUUUAAACAAUACCUGAGAAUCGGGACGUUACAUUAAUUCUCUACAAAAUGAGCACACAUUCAUGAAAAUUAAAAAAAAAGUAUUUUUUUAUAAAAAAAAAACCUAGAAAAAAAACCUCCAAAAAUCACAAAAACUUAAGGGAAAAUUCUACUAAAUAUUAGUGUUGUAAAAAUCUCGCCUAGUUCCCGAUUAAUCCGUAGGCGCUAAUCAACCGACUAGAGGGUGCCUAGCGAUUAAUCCCUACAUACACAAUGAGCGAAGUAGUAGAAAACGAAGAAAUGUAAACACUUUAAACAAGUUUUAUCUUAAUAGAAACUAUUUGAAGAAUAAUUAGAGUUUUAUUAGUCAUAUCAACCUAGUUUGUUAUGCUAUUAAUAGUAUUUACGAACUUUGUUAUGAUAUUAGUCAUAUUUAAUUUUUUUAAAUUCAAUAAAUUAGCAAUUCAUGGUCCCCGAUUAAUCUUUGUCUAGCCGAUUAAUCACUUAACCUGAGUCCACCGACAAGCCAAAUGUCGAACGUUUUUUACAACCUUGAUAAAUAUACUAGAGACUUCAUAAAAAGAAUUUUUCAAAAAUAAGUUUUUGAAAUGUUUAUUUUUAAUUUUAAGAAGUUUUAGCUUUUAUAGAAAACAUUAAACAUAAAAUGAUCUAAAAUGUGAUGAUUCCAAAUAUUUAUGAUUCAAAAAAACUUUUGAUUCAACUUGUUUAUGGUCUAAAACUAUGUAAAUUCAAAUAUUUAAUAAUUAUUAUUUAUAUUUUUUAUGAUUCAAAAUUAAAUGAUUUAAAAUAUAUGAUGAUCCAUAAUUUUUUUUGAACAAAAACUUUAUUUAAUUGAAUAUAUUAUUGAUCUAAAAUCACAUGAUCCAAAAAAUGAUAUGAUCCAAAAUACAAUGAUGUAAAAUAAUUGGAUUCAAAAUAUUUUGAUCCUAAAAUAAUAUGAAUGGAAAAUAUUAUGAUCCUUAAUAUUUUUAUUGUUUAAAAUUUUUAUAAUUGUAAAAAUUAAAAAAUUGAACAGAUAUUUAGUUUAAAAAAUAAAUAAAAACAAAAAACAAAAAAAACAAAAACACUAAACGAAAAAAAAACUAAAAACCGAGUAUAUAUGUCUAAUUUUUUUUUUUUGAUUUCUUUUAAAAAAUAAAAAAACGAAAAUAAAUAAAAAAAACUCACUUAAAUGACGUUUCAUGGACGUUUGUCGCACGUGGUUAAAUCAUCGAAUGCAUAUUAAUUACAACGGACGUAUGUCGCAUGCGAACGUUUCACAACCAAAUAUUAGGUUUGACGUUUGUGCCCUUGACGUGUAUUCGGAUACAAAGUUGAAAUAUAUAGUUAGAGAUUGUUUGGGAAUUUUAAAGGCCAAGUUAUAUUAAAACUUUUGUAAUUUGUUUGGUCACCAUUAUAUAUGAAAUUAUAACAUGGUAUGCGUGUUUGGCACGGAGUGUUUGGAUGUUUCUAGCUUUUAAAGUUUGACAAAACACUUUGUCUUGAACAAAAAAUCUCGUUUUACACCACAAGUUUUUAACAUUUACUUUAAACAAAAAACUUCAAAUCUAAAAGUCUUCUCGCGUAGAUUUUAUCAAAAUGCUAUCAACUUCGUGCUACCCGGUACCAGUUAGUUUUGACAAACGCGCUCUAUAUUUUCUUGCUCAAUAUCAACACUAAAUUUAAUAGUUAUUUCAUAUUUGAUCAAUAGUAACGAUUGUAAACAUAAUUCCUUUUCCAUACUUAUAUCAUAUUCAAUAGUUAGCAACAUAAUUCGUGUCAGGUUCGUGCCAACAAAUUUUUUUUCACUCGAACCCUUCCAGGAUUUGUCAGGUUGGGUUGCAGAUAGGUGUGGAGAUCAGAGUUAUGUUACAAAGACUGUUACAAAGACAGGGAUUGUAGUUCUUGUCAACAUUCCCACAUUUGCGUCCCUACUUUAGUCAUAGUUAUGAAAAUUAUGACCAAAUUUGUAUCACAUUUAAAGUUUGGAUCAAAUUUAUAACAAAAAUUAAAUUUUGUGUCAAAUAGUAAAAUUAGAAUGUGACCUUUUUGUAAUAAUUUUUGGAUUUGUGAUUAAGUUAAAAAUAUUAUCAAUAGUUUCUUUUUCAAAAACAAUUUCAAUCUAUUUAAAAUAAUAAAAAUAAAAAAAUGAAAAGUAAAAGGAAUUAAACAACCAAACACAAACACGUUUUGCUACAGAAACAGUUUUCACACCGAUAUUUAUCCUAAGCCUGCCUGUAAGAUGAUAACCGUUGAAAUGCAUUCAAAGGUAGGGACUUUAAGGCAAACGAGGUCCAUAUCACUACGAUGCUCUUAGUUUUUUUAGUAGGGUGUUGGUUGAUUGAAAAUAAAUCUAAAAUUCUUUUACUUUGAACAAAAAAGCCUAAAAGGCUGAGUAAAAAGAUGGGAUUUGGGCCGGGUGUGUGGCUGUGGAGUGGAAAGACGAGAUGCAUUAUAGGGUGCGUGUCCCUGUCCAGAGGAUUAUUUAAUUUGUGUACUCUUCUGACACCAGAGAUAUCAUUCAGCUUUAUACAUUAACAUCCAAACUCUCUAUACCUCAUCUUUUUACUUUUUAAUGUCAUACAGCUUUAUAUAUUAUUUUUAACUAAUUAAGUUAGCUACUAUCAUUCUAUUAUAUUGAAAUCAUCAUUAACCUAAUAAGCUAAAAAGCCACUAUUCUAAUAAAAAGCUAAAAAGCCACAAUUCUGCAUUUAUUUUCUGUUAUAUACUUGUAACUUGGGUUUUAAGUAUGUAAAUAAGGUUAAAAAAGUAUGCAUAACUAAACAUAUUUAUUAUAUUGAACAAAUCUUUGGCAGUGCUUUCAACUUAUGAUAUCACAUUUCUGAAAGCCUAUCGUUUAAAAUUUUGGUUUACUCUUUUUUUUUUUCUUUGCGUACACCGAUUCAAUUAUUAAGAGUUAUGUCUGAUUUAAAUUUGUGUGGUGUCGACUGUGGACUGUGGACACCAACUUUCUGUACAUAGUUGGGCAAAUGGAUUAAUAGUAAUACCAUAGGCAUAUAUUUUUUAUUAUUAUUUUUUUAGUAAAGUAUAAUAUUCGUGGAUUGUUGCAUGUAAAUUUCGAGUGAUAAAAGAUAGAACAAUAUGUGAUAUAACAAAUACAUUUUAUUAUAUUUGACCUGAAUAGAAUUGGAACCAAGACUUAUCUUGAUACCAAAAAAAUGUAAUUUUUUGUCUUAUCUACAAAUACCAUAAAAACUAUAAUUUUUUUCAUGCGUAAUUGAAAAUAAAACCUUAUUAUUAUUAUUAUUUUUUGUUUUGGCUAUAAAUUUUACACAGAGUCCAAAAACUAGUCAUAAAAUUGUGUUUAAAAUCCAAAUUUUGUGACUGUAGUUUACAAAAAACUACACCAUAUGUCCAAAACUCGGUUGUAUGCUUUUUUAACCUCUUUAUUUCCAUUUAUUUUUAUUUUUUUAGUCAAAGCUAAACUUGGUUAUAUAUAUAUAUAUANNNNNNNNNNNNNNNNNNNNNNNNNNNNNNNNNNNNNNNNNNNNNNNNNNNNNNNNNNNNNNNNNNNNNNNNNNNNNNNNNNNNNNNNNNNNNNNNNNNNNNNNNNNNNNNNNNNNNNNNNNNNNNNNNNNNNNNNNNNNNNNNNNNNNNNNNNNNNNNNNNNNNNNNNNNNNNNNNNNNNNNNNNNNNNNNNNNNNNNNNNNNNNNNNNNNNNNNNNNNNNNNNNNNNNNNNNNNNNNNNNNNNNNNNNNNNNNNNNNNNNNNNNNNNNNNNNNNNNNNNNNNNNNNNNNNNNNNNNNNNNNNNNNNNNNNNNNNNNNNNNNNNNNNNNNNNNNNNNNNNNNNNNNNNNNNNNNNNNNNNNNNNNNNNNNNNNNNNNNNNNNNNNNNNNNNNNNNNNNNNNNUAUAUAUAUAUAUAACCAAGUUUAGUUUUGACUAAAGAAUAAAAAUAAAUGAAAAUAAAGAAGUUAAAAUAAACAUAAAAUUAAGUUUUGGAUAUGUGGUGUAAUUUUUUGCAGACUACAGAGACCAAAUUUAGACUUUAAACAUAAUUUUAGGAUUGAUUUUAAAAAAAAUAACAAAGUUAAUAAUGCAAAUCGUUAAAUGAGCUAAAGUAAUAACUUUGUGUAAUUUGUGGCGAGAUCCAACAAAAAAAAAGAUUUUCCCAACUACACAUGAAAAAGUUGUGGCUUUUAUGAUAUUUUCCCUAUCAAAAGCUACCAAGAAUGUGUAAUUUUUUUGUCUUAUCUUGCUACAUGACGAAUGUAUACGUUCCACAAGAUUUGGCUGGGAAACAACUCCUUUGGGAUUAUUUGAAAUCUUUUGUUCGGAGGCAGGGGAAACUAUAUUAUUUUUGGUGAUUUAAUGUUGUUUGAGAUGCUUUAGAAAUAUAUGGCUCUCUGUUUUGUCAGGUUCCUACUGAUGCUUUUAAUGGUUUUAUUGAUGACCAGGGUUUAGUUGAUGUGUCUAUGACAGGGAAAAGAUUUACAAGGGUGGAUUCGGUGGGUGCUAAACUUAGUAAACUUGACAAGUUUUUAGUCUCUAAAGAUAUGUAUGACUUGUUUGAAUAAUUACAGGUUCGGGUUCUUGACAGGAAAUGGUCUCAUCAUUGCCCUAUUCUUCAACAUGAUUUUUCAGCUGACUAUGAUCCGAAUUCUUUUAAAUUUUUUAAUUCAUGGCUAUAAAUAGAUCGUUCCGAUGAUAUGGUUAGAAGCGUGGUUCAUGAUUUUGUUGUCCACCCGGGAUGGAGCAAGUUUGUUUUGUUUAAAAACAAACUUACAUGUAUUAAAGCUAGAAUUCGAAAUUGGCAUUUGGAGGUUAAGAGUCAAAACGAAGAAGACAAUCUUCGGCUUCACCAUAAAUUGAAUGUGACUUAUUUGAGUAUUGAAGAGGGUAACUAUUAUGUUGUUAUUGUGUCCGAGACACAAAAUAUCUUAAGGGAGAUGGUGAAUUUAGAUAAGAUCCGUUCCUCAAAUGCAACUCAAAAAAGCAAAGGUUUCUUGGUCAGUGGAGGGUGAUGAAAAUUCUGAGUUUUUCCAUGGCAUGCUGAAGAAACGAAGGCGUCAGAAGAUGAUCCGUGGUAUUUUUUGGAUGAAGAUUGGGUUCAAGGCCUAAAGGUUGUCAAGAAAGCUUUUUAUGAUUUUUAUGCUGCUAAAUUUCAAUCUUUUUAGGGGGUCGUAUUAUUAAUAGAAGUCAUAGAUUUUCGAGAAUCAAUAAUGAGGUAUCAAGUGUUAUAGAGGCUCUUAUCUCUGCAGAUGAGAUUAAAAAUACGAUGUGGGAUUGUAGUGGAGAUCGAGCACCAGGGCCGGAUGGUUUCUCCUUCAGAUUUCUUAGGUACUUCUGGAUAUUUUUAGCUUUGAUGUCAUUGUUUUUGUGGAGGAAAUUUAUACAAAGCCUUACUUUACAGCAGGUUUCAACUCCUCUUUUAUUAUUCUUAUCCCAAAGGUUGAUAAUCCUCUCUUUAUUAAAGAUUAUCACUCGAUUAGUAUUGUUGGCUUGAAAUUCAAAAUUAUUGCAAAUGUAACAUUCGAAAUUUCAGGUAUGAUAGUUUGUGUUUCAAAUUUUGAGGAUUUAGGAGGGACUUGACGAGUCGAAGGUUUAACUCGCCGAGUCAUGUCGAGGUGAUCAUGUGGAUUUAAUGAGCAGGCUCGACGAGUCCAAGGACAGACUCGCCGAGUAGGCUCUGGGCAGAGAAAACCCUAAGUUUCCGGGGUUGGGGCCUAUUUAAGGGAACUUGUGACCUUAGGUGCGCCUCAUACCUCCUGUGAGUAGCCCUAAAUCGCCAUUAGAGCCAUGAGAGAGUUCAUAUGAUGAAAUCAAGUAAUUUGGUGGGUCUUAUGGAAGGAAAAGAGCAUGAUUCAAGCAAGAAACGAGAUGGGGGCUAUGGAUCUAGCAUUUCUUCACGUGGGACUACUGUAGAAGGUAUAAACUUGCAUCAUUUUCAUCUAAUUUGGUUAGAUUUCAUGAUCUUGGGAGUUUUAGGGUUUUACUCCCCUUCUUUUGUGCCUAUGAGCUAAUCGAGACAUGAUCUGAGGAGGGAAACCUCAGAUCUGAACCUUGUGAGGUCAUUGAAGACUAGAUGCCCCAACUUUAGUUGUCCAAAUGAGGGUUGAUGAGCUAAAUCUUUCAUGGAGGGCAUGUAAUGGCAUUUUGAAGCAAUAACAUCAUGCAUGAACGUAAAGAUUGAAGCUUUACGUGAUUAUUGAGCCUUGAGAUGAUAGAUCUAUAGUUUAGAGCGAUAGAUCUGAGUGAAAUCGUCUGAAUGAGAAAAUGGCUGGAUAGACUCGCUGAGUCCAUGAGCCGACUCGACGAGUCGGUUAGGGUUUUCCUGGUCAAGCUGAAUUGCGUUCUAACUCGGCGAGUUGUGGGGUCAACUCGACGAGUUGAUCUGAAUCCUCGCGAAACUUCGGAGAAAGUGAGUGGACCCGACGAGUCACAAGGGUGUACUUGCCGAUUCGGGUCAGAUCUGGACUGUGGACUCGAGUUUGACUACAGUUGGCUUUAGGGUUGGGUCAACCAUGUGUAAUAGAAGCAUGAAGGGGUAAAGUGGUCUUUUACCCACUUCAAGAGUCAGACAGAGAAGGAGAAUAGACCUGGAUGUGUUGAGUAUGAGUAAGUAUUGCUAAGAUAUGUUUAUCCUAUGUGUUAGGCGGAAGCUAGGUCGAGAUUUUUGAGUGUCAGGUUGUCACUUGGUUGCUUUUAAGGUGAGUCUUCUCACUAUACUUUACCUAGAGGGUAAUUAUGUGUGACCGGAAGGUCUUAUGUGCUAUGAUGAGUAUGUGAUGUAUGCUGUUAUAUGAUAUGUAUGUGCUAUGUUAUGUUAUGAGUAUUAUGAUAUGGACCGGAAGGUCAAUAGUGUAUGGGUCGAAAGGUCAAGAUGAUACGGACCGGAAGGUCAGAGAAGUGGGACCGGAAGGUCUACCAGGAUUAUGGGGCGGAAGUCCCCUGAGACACAUUGACCGGAAGGUCUUGUAGAGUAUUAGCCUUGAGUGGCGUACGUGUUGUAUGUGGUAUUUUGGGAAACUCACUAAGCAUGCAUGCUUACCGUGUUAUGUGUUAUGUGUUUUAGGUUCUUAUCAGGAUCGCAGGAAGGUGGCAGCUCGAUUGUACACACAAAAGAAAAGAGUCAUGAAUGAGGAUCCUGGAUUUUGAUAAUUACUUUUGAAAACUAUUUUGAAAUACGUUAUGACAUCGACACUUAAGAUUUUGUAAAUUAUUACAUGUGACGUUGGAAAUUUAAAAUUGAAAAUUUUGUUUGAAAAUUUACGGUGUUACAAGUUGGUAUCAGAUCCUUGGUUUGAGGGAUUCGGAUACACCUUCGGGCAUAUCUGAACUCAAACUGAGGAUUUGAGAAAAGUUUUCAAAAAGAAACGAUUUUCUAAGAUAAGUAAAAGAUUUUCAAGAAAGCGGAAAGGAGCAGUGUGUACAAUCAGCCAGCACCCGAACGAUGAUUUCCCAAAAUACCCUUACGUUAUAUGUUAUGUUAUGCAUGCUAGAGAGUAGGCUAGGUAUUCAUAUCUAGGACUAGAGUGGCCUGGUUUGUGAUGCCUUAGCCUAGGAGUUACUACUGCUGUGAGUUACUUCGAGAGUGAGUAAGUAGCAGAGAGGAGCUUGUGAGAGGUCUACUGGAAAGUGGCAUGUGUGUGAUAAGAUGUAGAGUACUUGUGAUCUAGAAUCCUAGGAGGAGGACUUGGGCAUGAAUACUGAUGUGGUGUGGAAGGUAGUAUAGGACUCGUUCUACUGGAAACACCGGAUCAGUGAGCAAUCCAAGUAAGAAUCCUUGGGAUGCUAAGGAACAAGUAGGGCUGAGUGAUCGAGUGCAAGUAUACUUGAGCGAGUCCCUGAUUUCUUUUAUGUUGUGAGACGUCAUGGAUGGUACACGACACACACCGGAGAGAAGCGGUGUUAGCGAUGAUGAGAUUUGCCGAAUGAUUCAUGACGAGGUGGUCGCAGCGAUCCGAGAGGCUAUUCUGAAGGAUUCUAAGUAGCAGAUUAAGAGGUGAUGUCAUGGUUCGAGUACCAUGAUAAGUAGCAGAUUGAGAGGUGAUGUCGUGGUUCGAGUACCAUGAUAAGUAGCAGAUCGAGAGGUGACGUCAUGGUUCAGGUACCAUGAUUCAUAGCAGAUCGGGAGGUGGCCAUGCGGUUUGAGUACCGUGACAUGUGGCAGUUAGUGCUUCUGGUUUUACCAGUUAUUUCGUGGUGAUUGUCUAGAAUGAGAUCAAAUGUGGAAGAGUAUGGGGCCAGAAGGCCAUGAUGAACGCGUUUAUUGGAGCAUCCCUCGAGAGGGAAAUCGAUUUAGCCCCAAGGGAUUGUUGGUGAGAUGCUAGUUGGAGUCGCACGACUCAGGGAUAAGUAGGGAUGAUGCAUUAUGGAAGAAGACGAUAUGGGCUGAGCGACCGGCCGAUAGUGGAGAUGUCACUUUUGUGACUUGGGAGGUGCUAUUUCAGUUUUUUGCGAGAUGCAGUCAAAGGUAAACCCUGUGGGGUAGCAAGCAUGGUGACCUUUUCACCAGAACCUUUGGGCAGUAUGUUGGUUGCGAGGUAUUCGUAUACCAAGAAAGAGUCAUUAGUGGGAUUAAGAUGGAUGGGAACGAAGAGGUACUUUUUUGAGAAUGGUGUUGUCAGUUUCCGGUGGAUGAGAUGAGUAUACCGGGGCGGUGGCCCUCAUGGUCCACCUUGUGUAUCGACAACGAGGAUGAAGUUUGUGAUGGGUUUUGAGCAUUCUAACACUUCCUAAGUGUACAUGCAACCCUAAUAACCUUGGAUCUAUGUUUGUCUAAUUCUCAUGCAAAGUUGAUUUCCAAGGUUAUGAUCCUAUCUAGCAUACAUGGGGAACAAUUUUAACUUAAAUGAAAGAUAGAACUACAUACCUUGUUGUUGAUUUUGAUCCUUGAAACCUUGUGAGCCUAGCACCCCAAGUGUGACGGCGCAAAUGCUUCACACAACACCAAAUGCUAUGGAGUAAACUUGGAGAGAAAGUGUAACACUCUAAAAAUCGGCUCUAGCCCUCAAACAUGCAUGUGUCAAUCGAUUUUGGGAGAAACAUGAGCUUUAUAUAGUGUUGACACAUUUAGGGUUCACCAUUUAAACCCUAAUGUGUCAUGACUCUUCAUUUCCAUGACCCAUGGGUUUGUAACUCCCAUGGAGCCUCCAUGGAGCAUCCAAUUGGUUCAACCCAACUUGAUUAUCCAUGGAGCCUCUUAGCCCACUAUAUAAGUUAUGGAUGAUUUACAUAAUCAACUCAUAUAUUUAAUUAGUUAUCUUUUGAUCACUUAAUUAAUUCUUGAUCAUACUAAUUAAAUAAUAUUAUUAAUAUAUUAGAACUUGUAAUAUAUUAAUAAACCACAAGUGUUAUUUCUCUCAUUUAGUCUAUCCAAUUGCAUGGUGCCAUGCAACCCAAAUGGACCAUGCCGGGUCGGGUCAAGUACAUACUAGAAAUAGUUAUGGACUUAGACACCUUAUCCAACAGUCUCCCACUUGGAUAAGUCUAAUAACUAUAACUGCAAGUAUGACUUCAGGAACCGAUCGGCAAUCGUAGCUCUUUUCAAGGUUUCUCGGAACUGAGAAGAUGAUGGUACGCCAUUUCAGAUAAGGGAUCAUAUAAUCCUCUGUUCUAGAUAUCAGCCGGACAAACACAUGGAACAUGGUCUUGCUUAUCGUCCAGCAGUUUGUUUCCCGAUUUCCGAUUUGUUUGACAUAGAACUUAAUUGAACACAUCAACUUAGUUCUGACCGGGCCCGGUACAUAGGUCAAAACAAAAUCAUCGAGGGGCCCAGAUAUCAGCUUCUAAUCCAAGAAGGAACAGAUAAACUUCGACUCAUAUGUUUGUUCUACCACUCAUUGAAUUACACACAAAAGCACGUUUUAUAACAUCGAGUUACCAAUGCGUUUUCGUACAAUCAAUGCAUAACCAACUUGUAAGUAACAAAUCAUAUCUCUAGGUUUGAAGACUUAUAUGAUAUUACCGUCUCACGAUCACUCGAGAUAAAAUUCCAUGAAGUGAUUCCAGUGAGCGUGGGUUGAGUCCAAUGCUCAGAACUUAUGAGCACUCAUGAUUGUUGUAGCCAUGUCCAACACCUUAGACCUCUGCAACCAAUCAUGACAGUCUUGAUUCAUACCUACUUCCGACAUAUGACC